UCCUUUUGCUGAUAGCUCUUUGAUGCCAAUUAAGUCUCCAAACCAAAUUAAGCAUCUACUUCCACCUCUACUUAUAUCUAAGUAAGUAUAAGCAGUACAAUUGCAAUUGUUUAAGCACUCUAUCUUGCAUUCUUUGAGUGUCAUUCUUUCAUUAUACUAGGAAUAUCGUGUAUCUGGCAAUUUAAUACCAGAAUACUUGAGAAAUACAUCUGUUUGACAAUUCAAUGGAUUUCUGCGAACGCACCCGUUCGACCAAUAUGCCUUCUUCCAAGCUUUAGGAUCUUUUGGGAGGAAUCUAUUUAAACAUCCACAAGCAGGAGAAUUUGCAAUGUUGCAACUACCAUAUGCACCACAUUAUUUAUAAGUAUCACAAUUAUCUAUUGGAGCGGUCACGUAAACUACCCAUUGACGUUUUUGAUCUAUCCAUGUCCAGCACUGGGCAACUCCACUCGGACUCAAUGCAAACCUUGUGAUAACUGACCUGUUAAGGAGCUCAUAAUGAUAGUACACCUCAUUUUUUUAGUACUAAGUCAAAUUUGAAAAUCUCAUUUUUCCUCAAGUUUGGUGUCCCACUGAAACGGAGACCAUUCCAAGGUCCAGUUUUAUACUGCUCAACUGAACUGUUCACGAAAUUAUUUGUUCUGAUUUAAAAUCCACCGCAAGUAUACGGUUCGUUAACAAGUAGUAAAAUGGAAUAUGAGCCCAAGUAUCGAUCCCACAAGGAUUGAAUUAAUUCAAAUUAACCUAUUAUGACCUCAACCGAAUCACGAAAAUCGAAUUGAGGUUUGUACUUUAACUAACAAGAUGUAACCUUUGAUGAAAGUAUGAAUGAAGAAUUAUACUAAAUGUAAAAUAACUUGGAUGCAAUUUACUAGAGUUUUAUGGAAUUAAUGGAUAUACUAAUGCACUAGGAUCACGAAUCCCCAAGCAAUACCCUUUCAAUUUUCAAUUAUGUAAUUUUGGCACAUAGUUCCACAAAAGAUGAAUCAAUAUCCCUAUUUUAAUUUAGCAAUCUCCCUCGAGCAAUGCCAAACCUAUCCCAAAAUAUGAUUCGACUAUAUUUCUAUGACGAAUACCAACAUACGGAAAUGCAUUAUAAAUUAACGAAUAUCUACUGAUUCACACAAGGCAUAGAGGUAUAUUUCUAUCCCCUAUCGGACCUUAUGAUGAUUUAUACUAUGUCGAACCUAUUUUCCUUCUUUCAAAUGCAUAAAACAGGCCACCACAAUCAUAUAAUUACGUGCACAAUAAUCAUAUGAAAAUAAAAACCUAAUAAAUCAAUCAAAUCCAAAAAUUGUGUUCAAAUACGUCAAAAAUCCAAAUCAAAAAUCAAACGUAGUAUUACAAGGUUCAUUGAUCUCCUAGCAAUAAUAAAUCUAGCCUAACAUGCUAAAAGGAAGAAAACAUAAAAAUAUUUGAAGAAACGUCAUCACCCGAAUCAAUCUUCAAUCCAAUCUUCACUUGGCGCGAUGUUGUUCUCUUGUUCUGUCCUUCGUUUCUCCUUCAAAAUCCCUCAAAAACAUGUAAAAAUGGCAUCCCCUACUUCCUGGUCGAGUUUUUGUAUUUAUAGGACCCUCAAAAUAUUGUUUCCAUAAGAGUUUCGAAGAAAAAAGGAAACUGCAAUUUUACCCGGAAUGGCUUUAUGCGACCGCAUAGAGCAACUCUAUGCGGUCGCAUAGAGUAAAAAUAUUAACAGUAUGCCUCUAUGCGACCGCAUAGAGGGUAGCACUAUGCGGUCGCAUAGUGCUACCAACUAUGAGAAAUAUUCAUUUUGGUCCUUCUACUUGGAUACUUCACUUCUUGGCAUCUUUUCUUCAUUCUUUUCAUUCAAUCAUCCCAAGGUAUCGUCAAUUGGCAAUUGGCUUAAUCAGUUUCUCAAUUUGUUCAUCGGGUCAACUUUUGGAUAAUUGCACCUUGGUCCCUGAACUUUCACUUUGCAUCAUUUUAGUCCUUUUUCAUGUCUUUUCUCCUGAAUUUCACCAUGUUCAUCGUUGUUCCCUACAAUUCACAAAUAUAACAUGAUUAAGUCACAAUUCAAUCAUUUUGCUCGUUAUUAAGUCAUGUUUGUGACCUAAAUAAGCGUGCAAAAACACACUUAUCAAACCCCCCAAACUUGAACUAUUGUUUGUCCUCAAAUAAGAUAGUGACUUAAUUCUGAACGGACAUGUCUUAAUAUCCUGUUGUGGCUCGGGAUUGGACUGAGUAUUUAAAAAUUUAUCUGUGCAAACAUGACAUCAACCUUUACCUGUUAAAUGUAAAUUGGCGUGUGUGUGUGAAUUCAUGCCGACAUAUCAGGUUCAUGAUGAAUUUGAGUCCCGACCCCAAGUGGUCAAAUAUAUCCUCACUCGCUCGAGAGAUACACAACCUCCCAAACUUAUACUUUUUACUCAAUUAUCCCGGGGUUAUGUUUUAAGAUUAGGAAUUUAUAUAGCUGCAGUCCUCACCCUCUCAUAGUUUGGAUUUAGCAUUACUAUCACAAGUCUACAUUUCAAAAAGUGAAGGCUCUCCUAGAUUUGAUUGCUUCGACACUCAAAAUUAAACUAGAUUACUUGUCUUGACUAAGAGGUAUGGUCUCUUCAACCAAAUGUCUAAGGGCUUUUCGUCAUGUUUUGUCUCUCUUUUCUUUUUCUCACCUUUCUUUAAUUUCUGAUUGAUUGUCAUCUUCUCAUUUGCUUUCUAUAUAACCCAUGUAAUGAGCUUUAGGCUGGUGAUUCCCAAAUUAGUUAGCUUUAGGGCACCAGGUUUUAAACCCUUGCAGGCUUAUUCACUCGAGCUAUAAAGGCUCGAUAAGAUGACUUUUUAUUAACUUCUUUCCCUCUUGCUUUCUAUAUGACCCAUGUAUCUGGCUUUGAACCGGUGACUCCCAGGCCAGUUGGCUUUAGGGCACCAGAUUUUGAAAUAUCCUUACAUGCUUACUUGCUCGAGUCAUAAAGGCAUGAAAAUAAGUGUUUUAUUCUCACAUAUUAAAAUUGUGCCCUUUGGCAUUCUUCUAGACAUUUAGUUUCCAAAAACAACCCCCAAUUUAAGAUUUUCACCUACUCUUCAUCCCACUGGUCUAGGCAAUCCAUGCAAUAAAUUUCAUGCACAGAGCCCCCGCUCAUCUCAAUGCUUUCUUAUAAUAGCUCAACUAUCAUCAAACUAUCUUAAGGUAGUUUAUGGGUUAAUUCAAUAGAGGGUUAUCAUUCUUUUCCUAUGUUAUGCCCAAAAUCCAGUCAUUCUCCUAAGAUGUCAAGCAUGAAUAGCAUGCAUAGAUAAUGUCAAUUGUUACAUCAACAAGUAUCGAUUAGUCUAAUUAACACCAGAUUCAAAGUUUUUAUAGUUCAAACUAGUCCAAUAAUAUUAUCAUAGCUAAUAAGGUUAUCAAGCCCACACAAGCAUGCAUGAAGAGAAUUUAAAACAAACUGAAUAAAAUGAAAUUAUUAUUUUUUUUGUAACACUCAUCAUGCACACAUUAUGCAGUAAUGGAAAUUAGUGGAAAAUAGAUAAUGAUGAACACAGAUAGAGAUUUAAAAUUAUGUCACCCUCCCCAAACUUAGUUAAUACGUUGUCCUCAAUGUAAGAGUAACAAAAGAUUAAAGACAUAAUUUUAAGGACAAAAUGAAAACGAAAAAUCAAAAUGGGGGAAACAGUACUCCCCUGAUCAAAAGGGAUGAGGUGGCGGGAAACUAGGUCCUGAUGUGUCAUCAUCUGAUGGUGGAGGGUGUCGUCCAAGGAGUUGCUGCAUCAUCCCAUGCAUCUCUCUCAUAAGGGCGGACUGCUGUGCCUAUUCGGCUUGGAUGGCUCUCACGUGUUCCCAUGUGUCAUUUUCCCGCAACCGGAUGCCAUCCAUUCGGCCCAUAUACAUGUUCAGCUGGCCAUUUAUGGUGUCAAUCUCCCAUCGCAUGAUUGAGGCAUCGUCCCGGGCAUCUCUGAUGUAAUUUAAUACAAGGUGAUUGUCUCUUUGUAAACCCUGCAACUCAGUCCUCAUGGUGCCGAAAUCCUGAAGGAAGCUAUGGAAGUCUCGGCUGAUUCCCGUGGUGGUGGAGAAUACCUGUCUCAGCAACUGAGAAUCCACAUCAGCCUAUGGUGCUUGAACCUGUGAGUGGUCCUGAUCUNGUCCCUGAACUUUCACUUUGCAUCAUUUUAGUCCCUUUUCGUGUCUUUUCUCCUGAAUUUCACCAUAUUCAUCGUUGUUCUGUAAAAUUCACAAAUAUAACAUGAUUAAGUCACAAUUCAAUCAUUUUGCUCAUUAUUAAGUCAUGUUUGUGAACUAAAUAAGCGUGCAAAAACACACUUAUCAAACCCCCCAAACUUGAACUAUUGUUUGCCCUCAAAUAAGAUAGUGACUUAAUUCUGAACGGACAUGGCUUAAUACCCUGUUGUGGCUCGGGAUUGGACUGAGUAUUUAAAAAUUUAUCUGUGCAAACAUGACAUCAACCUUUACCUGUUAAAUGUAAAUUGACAUGUGUGUGUGAAUUCAUGCCGACAUAUCAGGUUCAUGAUGAAUUUAAGUCCCGACCCCAAGUGGUCAAAUAUAUCCUUACUCGCUCGAGAGAUACACAACCCCCAAACUUAUUCUUUUUAUUCAAUUAUCCCGGGGUUGUGUUUUAAGAUUAGGAAUUUAUAUAGCUGCAGUCUCCUCUCAUAGUUUGGAUUUAGCAUUACUAUCACAAGUCUACAUUUCAAAAAGUGAAGGCUCUCCUAGAUUUGAUUGCUUCGACACUCAAAAUUAAACUAGAUUACUUGUCUUGACUAAGAGGUAUAGUCUCUUCAACCAAAUGUCUAAGGGCUUUUCAUCAUGUUUUGUCUCUCUUUUCUUUUUCUCACCUUUCUUUAAUUUCUGAUUGAUUGUCAUCUUUCCCUCUUGCUUUCUAUAUAACCCAUGUAAUGAGCUUUAGGUAGGUGAUUCCCAAACCAGUUGGCUUUAGGGCACCAGAUUUUGAAAUAUCCUUUCAGGCUUACUUGCUCGAGUCAUAAAGGCAUGAAAAUAAGUGUUUUAUUCUCACAUAUUAAAAUUGUGCCCUUUGUCAUUCUUCUAGACAUUUAGUUUCCAAAACCAAUCCUCAAUUUAAGAUUUUCACCUACUCUUCAUCCCACUGGUCUAGGCAAUCCAUGCAAUAAAUUUCAUGCACAGAGCCCCUGCUCAUCUCAAUGCUUUCUUAUAAUAGCUCAACUAUCACCAAACUAUCUUAAGGUAGUUUAUGGGUUAAUUCAAUAGAGGGUUAUCAUUCUUUUCCUAUGUUAUGCCCAAAAUCCAGUCAUUCUCCUAAGAUGUCAAGCAUGAAUAGCAUGCAUAGAUAAUAUCAAUUGUUAUAUCAACAAGUAUCAAUUAGUCUAAUUAACACCAGAUUCAAAGUUUUUGCAGUUCAAACUAUUCCAAUAAUAUCAUCAUAGCUAAUAAGGUUAUCAAGCCCACACAAGCAUGCAUGAAGAGAAUUUAAAACAAACGGAAUAAAAUGAAAUUAUUAUUAUUAUUUUUUUUCUAACACUCAUCAUGCACACAUUAUGCAGUAAUGGAAAUUAGUGGAAAAUAGAUAAUGAUGAACACAGAUAGAGAUUUAAAAUUAUGUCACCCUCCCCAAACUUAGUUAAUACAUUGUCCUCAAUGUAAGAGUAACAAAAAAUUAAAGACAUAAUUUUAAGGACAAAAUGAAGAUGAAAAAUCAAAAUGGGGGAAACAGUACUCCCCUGAUCAAAAGGGAUGAGGUGGUGGGAAACUGGGUCUUGAUGUGCUAUCAUCUGACGGUGGAGGGUGUCGUCUAAGGAGUUGCUGCAUCAUCCCAUGCAUCUCUCUCAUAAGGGCGGACUGUUGUGCCUGUUCGAUCUGGAUGGCUCUCACGUGUUCCCAUGUGUCAUUUACCUGCAACUGGAUGCCAUCCACCCAGCCCACAUACAUGUUCAGCUGGCCAUUUAUGGUGUCAAUCUCCCAUCGCAUGAUUGAGGCAUCGUCCCGGGCAUCUCUGAUGUAAUUUAAUACAAGGUGAUUGUCUCUUUGUAACCCUGCAACUCAGUCCUCAUGGUGCCGAAAUCCUGAAGGAAGCUAUAGAAGUCUCGGCUAAUUCCCAUGGUGGUGGAGAAUACCUGUCUCAGCAACUGAGAAUCCACAUCAGCCUAUGGGGCUGGAACCUGUGAGUGGUCCUGAUCUGCGAGGGCUGGGCUGUGUGCGGCCUGUUGCUGUCAUCGAGGUUGUUUUUCAAUUUUUGUUGAUGUUUAAUUCUGGCUCGGUCCUAGGCCUCGAGUGUGAGGCAUUUGAUAAAUGGACUUGGUUUCUCCGGUGCCUUCCCUGGCUGAACUUGUAUGUUAGUAGCUCUACAAAUUCCACUUAUCAAGCUCGAAAAAAUCAGUGAGGUGUGCCUGUCACCCCAUGCACCUGUAACUUGUAUCUGAUUGUAAAUGUAAGUGGCUAAGUCUAUCUUGUUGUCCUGAACUAAGUGAUAGAUGAACCCCGCCUUCUGGUUGGUGAAUGUCGUCCUAUGGGAGAUGGGCUCGAUGUUGUGGCAGAUGAACAACCAUAAGAUGGUUAUAGAAGGAGUGAGGGCAAUCUGAUACCAAUCAGCAGUAGAGAGAGGCCAAGCAUUUUCAUGCCCCAAUAGAACUUCUGCAACCUCAACCCGGUUGAAAUCAUGCGGAACUGGGAUGACAUUAGUCCAAGUGAGCUGAUAGUAGGCAUGUAUUACCUCCGGUGAAAACAUGAUCCAUUUACCCCGAACCCAUGUUUGAUGCAGAUGGUCAGAUCCAGGUGUGUCUAUUUCAGCAUUGAAGUGCAUAGAAUUCCCGUACCAAAUUUUCAUAGACGGGGUGUGGUCUCUCGAUCACUUUCUCCCAAUCACAGUUUUGGAUUAAAUAGACCAAUUCAAAACCAAGAAAAUCAUCCAACUUAACUGGUUGCUCAAGGAUGAGUGCCCAUUUAUGGACAACAUUGGCAUAGCGGGCUGCUUGUUCGGAAGAUAGAAAACGCCGGACACCCCCCUUCGGGUUCCCUAGUCCGGGCUGUGCCAGAAGUGGAACCAACCUUUUCCUUUCCUUUUGAUGUUCGCUUCGGAGGCAUCCUGCAAAGGUAUAUAAAUAAUAGUCAUUAAACUACAUUUUGAACAAUGAUAGGGGGAAUGAGAUUAGCAAGACAAGUAUUUCACAAAUCCCCCAAACUUGCUUCAACAUGCAUAUAGAAUUUCGUGGUGUGCACUCAUCAAAAUAUGAUAUUCAAGGUAGUGUAAAUAGAAUGCCAAGAUGAAAAAUUGGAAAUUGAGGCCGAAACAAGCACCUUUGAAAAGGUGGACCCCUGUCCGAGUACGCAUGUUCGGCCCCGGACGUUAUCAAAAAAUAUCAAAAUUUUCUCGGGUAAUCUCUGGGCAUAUGAAAGUAUUCAAAGAGAUCUACCAUAUAUCCGAAUUUCAAAGCAAAUGGACUUUGUAUGGUAUGCCAAUUAAUGGUGUAAAUUAGGGGACGUAGGGUGUCGUGACAUGCCGUGACCUAGCCAUGUGCCUACGCGUUGCAAAAUGGAUGGGGCGUGUACAUGAUCUUUCAAGUGGUCGUGAAUGUGGUAAUCAUGCAAAUGUCAAGAAAACAUGUUCAAGAAUGUCUAAGGAAGGCAAAAUAACAGUUUACACACUAACGGCGCUUCAAACAACCAAAAUGUGUCAAGUGACUCGUGAUUAAGUGUGUGAGUUCGCCUCCGGACAUCACCGAGAAAACUUGAAUUUUUCCCGAGCAACCUCUGAGCAUAUGAAAGUACGUUGUGUGGAGUGACACAUAUUCAAAUUUCAUGCGCAUUGGGUGUCGUGUGGGUACUUAACGCAGGAGACGAAGUGGGUGCGGUGAAGAGACGGGAGCCAAACAUGUGUGCCUAAAUGUGUGUGGUUGCCAAAUGAGUGUUUCGAGCUCAAUUUCUAUGGCAUGUGGUCACCACGUAUAUGGGAUUGCGUAUAAUCAAAUUAUCUAAUGCAGAAUUGCGCAAAAUGUACUACAAAUUUCCCGUAGGCACUUCAUCGAACACUUCGCAUGCAUGAUUUAUAAACCCUACAAAAUACCAAAUUGAUAAUGUUCCACCAAUCCAAAACACAAUCCAAGGUGAACAUACACAAAACCAUAGACUACCUAUUUCCUAAUCUCCACAAACAAGCUCAAAAUCUGCAUGGUUCUUUACGAAAUAAAUUUAAAGAAAAUCAUAGGGAGGAAGGAAAGAGAGAUUACCUUGACGUCUCAAAGGAAGUGUGGAGGAAUGAAAUAGCAUGCCAAUGGGAGGAGAAUUACCGUGUAAUGUGAGUGAGAGGCGUGUGUGAAGGUGGUUGUGCGAUGGCUAAGGGAAUAGAGGGAAAUGGGGGAGAGUGGCUUGGUCAUGGUUUAAAACCAUGACCGAGAGCCUACUAUGUGGUCGCAUAGUAUAAAGAAUUUUCCCCAUUUGUGUUCGGGAGGUGUCUAUGCGGUCGCAUAGACAUUACUUUUCUUAAUUGAAAUAUCUUUUUCUUUUGAUAAAAUAAUAUCCCUUUUUUUUUUUUUUUUUUUUAAAACAUGCCAUCUGAGAUAUAUGAACUUGGGCCUAACUCCAUUCUUGUAAGGACACCACUGGCACUCCCUUAACAAGAAUUCUUAAAACAGUGAUCCCUUUCCCUCUUCUAUGCGUCUCCUAGCCUCUUCACUGGGCCUUUACGCUUUGAGAGGUCACUCAGGGCUUAUUUUAAAAACAGUUUAAACUUUUAACUUGGAGUUAAGACAUGCUCUUAUCAUAUACCCAGCAUGAAGCAUAAAUUUUUUUACAAAAAUCAUAAAACUUUUACAAAUCAAAAAUUUUAUAAACAUAAAUUGUUCUUACAAGAUUUGGAACUAAUAUUAACUAUUAGCACCAUAUCUUAGAACUAUAAAGCAUACCUACCGGAAUGAUCCAUCGGUAGUUUUUAAAACAACAUAUUUUUGUGGAUAUUAUUCUACUUAAGAAUAAGAACAAUUAAGAAUUUCCCUUUCGGGAGAAAAAGAAAUUUAAAACAUAUUUGAGAGAAUUCAAAACUUGUAUUGUAUAUAUAUUCUUGUGUGUUUACAAAUGAAAGAAAGGUUAGAAUUUCAAGGAUUUGGAGGCUGUUGUAGGCGGUUGUUAAAACAAAUUAUGAAAAUCCUACUCAGUACUUUUCUUGAUUGAAAUAUCUUUUUCUUUUGAUAAAAUAAUAUCCCCUUUUUUUUUUUUUUUUUUUUUUUAAAAACAUGCCAUCUGAGAUAUAUGAACUUGGGCCUAACUCCAUUCUUGUAAGGACACCACUGGCACUCCCUUAACAAGAAUUCUUAAAACAGUGAUCCCUUUCCCUCUUCUAUGCAUCUCCUAGCCUCUUCACUGGGCCUUUACGCUUUGAGAGGUCACUCAGAGCUUAUUUUAAAAACAGUUUAAACUUUUAACUUGGACUUAAGACAUGCUCUUAUCAUAUACCCAGCAUGAAGCAUAAAUUUUUUUACAAAAAUCAUAAAAUUUUAACAAUAUUAGGUCAUUAUAUUAGAUUAGCAGAUAAUAUGGAAUCAUUAGAAAUGUAUAGAUAUUUAGAAACAUUUUUAGGAGAAAGUGUUAAAGCUACAUGGGAAGCUUUUAAGAAAGAUAAACAACCAGAAUUUGAAGCAUUGGUAGCAUUAGGAAAUAAUCCUUAUAAUUUUGUUAGUAAGAUACAUGAAUUAUUAACAGGAGCAGACCCAAAUACAGGACAUUUAAUAAUUCAAAGUAAAGCUAUUAGAAAUCUUGAACAGCUUAGUUUAAAUAGAUGGACUAAAGGUAAAGAAGUUAAACAAUUUCUAAACGAAUAUCAUUACCUUGUUUCUAUAUCAGGUAAUACUUUUAAUCAAGAAUUAGGUAAAGAAUUAUUCCAUAAAUUACCAGGUCCCUUAGGAUUAGAAAUAACAAAAAAGUGGAAUGAAAAUAAGAGUGUUAUAGAAAGACCAGACCAUUUAUGGAGUAUAGGAAUAAGAACACAAUUUAUAAUGCAAUAUCUAGAAGAAAAAUGUGUUGAAUUACAAAUUCAGAAUCAACUAAAAAAGAUAGAUUAUAAAUUUUGUAAAGAUAUUUUCACACCUCAGACUUAUGGUAAUAANNNNNNNNNNNNNNNNNNNNNNNNNNNNNNNNNNNNNNNNNNNNNNNNNNNNNNNNNNNNNNNNNNNNNNNNNNNNNNNNNNNNNNNNNNNNNNNNNNNNNNNNNNNNNNNNNNNNNNNNNNNNNNNNNNNNNNNNNNNNNNNNNNNNNNNNNNNNNNNNNNNNNNNNNNNNNNNNNNNNNNNNNNNNNNNNNNNNNNNNNNNNNNNNNNNNNNNNNNNNNNNNNNNNNNNNNNNNNNNNNNNNNNNNNNNNNNNNNNNNNNNNNNNNNNNNNNNNNNNNNNNNNNNNNNNNNNNNNNNNNNNNNNNNNNNNNNNNNNNNNNNNNNNNNNNNNNNNNNNNNNNNNNNNNNNNNNNNNNNNNNNNNNNNNNNNNNNNNNNNNNNNNNNNNNNNNNNNNNNNNNNNNNNNNNNNNNNNNNNNNNNNNNNNNNNNNNNNNNNNNNNNNNNNNNNNNNNNNNNNNNNNNNNNNNNNNNNNNNNNNNNNNNNNNNNNNNNNNNNNNNNNNNNNNNNNNNNNNNNNNNNNNNNNNNNNNNNNNNNNNNNNNNNNNNNNNNNNNNNNNNNNNNNNNNNNNNNNNNNNNNNNNNNNNNNNNNNNNNNNNNNNNNNNNNNNNNNNNNNNNNNNNNNNNNNNNNNNNNNNNNNNNNNNNNNNNNNNNNNNNNNNNNNNNNNNNNNNNNNNNNNNNNNNNNNNNNNNNNNNNNNNNNNNNNNNNNNNNNNNNNNNNNNNNNNNNNNNNNNNNNNNNNNNNNNNNNNNNNNNNNNNNNNNNNNNNNNNNNNNNNNNNNNNNNNNNNNNNNNNNNNNNNNNNNNNNNNNNNNNNNNNNNNNNNNNNNNNNNNNNNNNNNNNNNNNNNNNNNNNNNNNNNNNNNNNNNNNNNNNNNNNNNNNNNNNNNNNNNNNNNNNNNNNNNNNNNNNNNNNNNNNNNNNNNNNNNNNNNNNNNNNNNNNNNNNNNNNNNNNNNNNNNNNNNNNNNNNNNNNNNNNNNNNNNNNNNNNNNNNNNNNNNNNNNNNNNNNNNNNNNNNNNNNNNNNNNNNNNNNNNNNNNNNNNNNNNNNNNNNNNNNNNNNNNNNNNNNNNNNNNNNNNNNNNNNNNNNNNNNNNNNNACUAGCCCAGAAGGACAUUUUGAAUGGUUAGUUAUGCCAUUUGGAUUAAAAAAUGCCCCUAGUAUUUUUCAAAGAAAAAUGGAUAGUAUUUUUAGUAAACAUAAUAAAUUUAUUAUAGUUUAUAUAGAUGAUAUUUUAGUAUUUAGUAAAAAUAGAAGAGAACAUAGAGGUCAUUUACAAAUUCUUUUUUCAGAAUUUAUUAGACAUGGUUUAAUUAUAAAUAAAAAGAAAAUGUUUUUAUUUAAAGAAUAUAUAGAAUUUUUAGGAGUAAAUAUAGGAAAGGGAAAAAUUGAGUUACAACCUCAUAUAGCCCAAAAAGCUUUAGAUUUUCCAGAUAAACUUGAAGACCUUAAGCAGCUACAAAAAUUUUUAGGAUUAGUUAAUUAUGCUAGACCCUUUAUUAAAAAUUUAGGAAAAAUUGCAGGACCUUUAUAUGGAAAAACUUCACCAAAAGGUCAAAGAUACUUUAAUAUAGAAGAUAUUAAAUUAGUUCAAAAAAUAAAAGAAAAAUUAAAAGAUUUACCUAAAUUAUCUAUGCCAUUAGAAACAGAUUAUUUAAUUAUAGAAACAGAUGGAAGUAUAACAGGAUGGAGAGCAAUUUUAAUUGCAAAACCCAAUAAAUAUGCAGAUAAAUAUAGUGAAAAAAAUUUUCCCAAAUUUUUAAUAAAGGGUCUAGCAUCUUAAAAUCUUCCUGAUCUUGAUUUGUAGCUUCAAUAUUUUUUGUCUUUAUUAUAUAUUCAGGAUUUUUGAUUUUUAAUUCACAUAAAAUUUUAUCUUUUUCCCAAUAUUUUAAGAUAUUUUCUCCUAAAAUUUCUAAUUUUUCUAGUUUACUAAUCAUAUUUUCUAUGUCUUGUUCUGUUACUAACAGAUUAUAUAUUUUUUCAAUUUCUACAAAAUCUAAACAUAUUUCUUCUUCUUCCUUUUCAUAAUAUUCUUCUAAAAAAUUUAAAUUUUCUAAUUCUUCUUUAUCUAUUAAUUGACAUUCUCUUUCUUUACUGCACUCACAUUCUUUUUCUUUUUCUAAUAUCCCACCACGCUUCUCAGAAUACUCUGAUGGAAUAAUCUUAGUAUAAGUAGGUGCACAAAGUGUGAAUUUUUGUAAUUGCAUAUAAUCUUUGCUAAUUAUUAUACUACCAUUAUCUUUUAACAAGAAACUUAAUCCUAAAAUUAAGUCUGUAUUUAAAGAUAAUUCUCUUACCCAUACUGAGUCUUUAGGUAAACUAUAUUCUGUACUUUUUCCACAAUUAGUCUCAAAACUAAUUUUUGCUGGUUUUAGGAUAUCUUGGUAACUAUAAAAAUUCCCAUCCAUUUGUUGGGCUUCUAUAGGUUCUUUUGACUUUAUUAUAUAUUUUUCUGGUAUAAUUUUUUUAUUAAUUACACAAUGACUACAUCCUGAAUCUAUUAAACCUAAACAAAUUAUUUCAAAAUUUUCUAUUCUAACAUAACAUUUUACUUUAAUACUUUUUAAUUUUUCUGAAUUACAAAAAACUUGAACUAAUUCUGGUUCAGGAAUAAGAACAAUUAAGAAUUUCCCUUUCGGGAGAAAAAGAAAUUUAAAACAUAUUUGAGAGAAUUCAAAACUUGUAUUGUAUAUAUAUUCUUGUGUGUUUACAAAUGAAAGAAUGAUCUCCUUAUAUAGGAGAAAAAAAGAGAGAGGAAGCGUUUUUUAAAAGCAAGGAAUCUUUGCUUUUUUCAAAACGUCAAAAAGAAAAUAGUAAAAAGCUAUGCUAUCAAAUCUUACUUUAUCAAACAGUAAGAUUCUUUACAAAUUUUUCAAAAAGAAAACAGUAAAGAUUCUACUUUUCGUACAAUAAUUGCUGAUCUUGGACAGAAAUCUUCAAGUGGUUGGGUCUAGUCUGAAACCUCUUAUCUAUCACUAUAACUUUUUGUCAAAUGUCUGAAAAGAUCCUUAUCUUGUUUCAUAAUUGUGUCUGCCAAUACUGUCUAAAGAGUCUCCUCCGUCAGUAUAUCCUUCUGGAUUAUCAUCUUCUUCUGAAUUAUUGUCUUCAAAAUUAUCCAAAUCUUUUUCUUGUUCAAUUUUCUUUUUGCCUUUAUUUUUCUUUUUAAUCUGUAUUUUCUUUUUCUUUGUAGUACUUUGUUUAACUUGUUGCUGUAUUUCUUCAAUUUUCUCAAACAUUUCUUUGAUUCUUCUAAUAUCUGAUUGAGAAAUCUGUUCUGGAUCUUGAGCUGAUUGGAAUGAUUCUGGAAAAUUAAUUGGGCUUUUCUGUUUAAGAUCUAUUGGACUAAUAAGUCUAGUAGCAGAAUUCCUAGUCUGCUGUGUCUGGUCUUCAGAAAUAUUUUUAUUUUCUGUAACAGGAUUUUCAGCCUGUUGAGUCUGAUUAAAUUGAAAAGUAGGAGAAUCAACAGUCCCCUGAGUCUGUUGAGCUUUUGGUAAGCCCAGAACCAUAAACGGAUUUGAUAAGUCUUUACCAGCUUCCGUUUGAGCUGGACUAGCUAUAGAAUUCUUGGGCUCUAUAGUACCUGCUUGUGUCUGAACAAUUGGAUUUGAGAUCUUUAAAUUAAUAAUUUUUUUGUUCUAAUUCAGAAAUUUUCUUUUGUAAAACUAAUUUUUCUUGUUGUAAAUACUGAUUAGACUCAUUUAAAAUUUUAAAAUUCUUAGUCAUACAUUCACAAUGUUCACAAAAUUUAGAAACAUAAUCUAAGGACUGAUCUGAAACAUUCUUUAAAGAAGGGGCAACAAAAUAAUUAAUUCCUAAAAAUUUUCUACAUUCUUCUAAUGCUUCUGAAAUUGAAUAAAAUCCUUUAUAAAGAGGAUUUGGAAAUUUUUUUAUACAAUCUGCAACUUCUAACCAGGUAUGAUAAAUUCCUGGAAGUCUGCCUUGUAAAACAACAUAACACUUGAAUUUUUUAUGAUCUUGACUAAAAUGUUCUGAAAGUGCAUUUAAACAUGCUAAAAAAUAUUUUUGAUCUUUUGGAUUCUUAUUGUAAGAAAUCCAUAGAUUAUCUAAAAUACAUUUUUCUGAUUUUGUAACUGAAAUAUGGGAUAAUGUCUUAAAACUAAUAUUACUGUUUGGAAAACAAAGUAAUUCUACGUUACCAAAUCUUAACUUGUCAUGAGUCUGUACUACAUUUGUCUGAGAACUUGAACUGCCAACAAUUGGCAAUACUGGUCUUGGUCCUCUGGGUCUUUGCAUCUGCAAAUAAUCAAUUAUAUUCUUUAUUUUUAAUUAUUCUACUUAAAAUAUCUGCUAUCUGAUUAUCACUACCUUUAAUAUGUUCAAAAUUAAUUACUAAUCCAGUAUUAGUAAUUCUAUCUAUAAAAUUUAACCAUCUUCUUCUAUUACUUCUUUUAUUUUCUAAUUUCAUUUUAUUAACAAAACUUACUUCUAUAAGAUUGAUAUUUUUCUGGUUCUGUUUUAAUUUGCAUAAUUUCAUCUGUUAAUUCCUUAUAAUUACUAUCCUGUGAAAUUUUUGUUUUAUUAUCAAUUUCUUCUAUAUUAAUUCCUACUCUUAUAUUUUUAAAAUUAUCAUAAUAUAAAUAUUCUGUUUCUACUAUUUGUUUAUUUAAAAACAAAUGAUCUUCUAAUUUUAAAAGUUCUGUAGGAGAUAAUUUCAUUUCUAAUUCUUUAGGAUAAAUAAUUCUAUCUUCUAUUUCUAUUUCUACUGCAUUAAGAAAUUCUUCUGUUUUUUGUUCUUCUUCAUUAUUAUUAUAUUCUGUUUUAGAAUCAUUAUUUCUAUUUAUGUGACUAUAAUUUCCAAACCUUAAACUAGUUCUUCCAUGUAAAUCUUUAUAUGUUAUAGCUUCUUGAGGGGCUAAAAUUGGUUCUUGGGACUAAAAAAAAAAAAAAAAAAAAAANNNNNNNNNNNNNNNNNNNNNNNNAGCCUACUAUGUGGUCGCAUAGUAUAAAGAAUUGCCCCUAUUUGUGUUCGGGAGGUGUCUAUGCGGUCGCAUAGACCUAUAUAUAUAUAUAUAUUAACACACUGAAAUGCAAAAAAGGUAUUUCCCUCGCAAUUUUUUUUUUUAAAAAAAACGUUCUUGUAUCUAGAAAAUUAUGGGGAUGAUAAUUCAGUCCAAUUAACAUGCAUGUACGACCGAUGACCUAGAAAAAUGCAAAUGCAAAAAUGAAAUAGUUCGAAAAAUAAUGUGAAAAGUAAGCUAAUAGAAGGAUACAGUGGGUUGUCUCCCACCCAGCGCUAUAUUAUAGUCGAUAGCUCGACUUUUCUGUAUUGCAUCAUUCUGAUGGUCUAAGAUGAAUGGUAGCUUUUCCUUUGAAAAAUCGCCGCCCUAAUAGUGCUUCAAACGCUGUCUAUUGACCUUGAAUGUCCCCUUGCUAUCGUGAGUGAUCUCAACUGUCCUAUGUGGAAAAACCUGUGUAAUAGUAUACGGACCAGACCACCUCGAUCGCAGCUUUCCUGGAAAUAACUUAAGCCUAGAGUUGUAGAGUAGCAUUUUCUGCCCCACCGUAAAUUUCUUACUUUUUAACCAUAUAUUCUUCAAAAAUUUGCUAUUCAAGAACUCACUCUUUCAAUACAAAUUCUAUCUAACAGAGGCUAAAUGUGGACGCUGCCGUGUAUGGGAGGGAAUAUUGUGGAAAUUUCUCUAUUGUUGGUCCACCAUUUGGAUUUCUACUGUUGGACAGUUAAGCUCGUACGAACAGUCUUCAAAGACAACACUGCUUGUUUGCUUGACUUGUCUGGGUUCGGGAUGAUUGAUAUCGAUAUUGACAUUACUAUGAUCAUACUUGGACACUUAUAUAAAAGCAUUUUUAAUAGAGAAUGCCAUUCGUACACUCCAAAGUGUACAUUAUGGUUGCCACUUGCUUAGAUAUAAAAAAAAUGAUUGGAGGAAAAAACGUUUUUUCCUUUUUCCUUUUUCCUUUUUUUUUUUUGGAACUGUCAAACUUGGUAUACACUAAAUGCAUGAUUAAUUUUUAAGUGAUUUGGACGCUACUUUAGAAAUAUUUUUAAUUGAUUCCAAAGUUUGACAAUAAGUUUAAUCACUGAGAUUUUUUUUAAAAUUAUUUAUAUCGUGGAACUCUUUUUUGAAAAAAAAAAUAAAAAAAGUUGCAUCUAUACCCUCAUUUUUUGAACGUUCAUAUUUGCCCAUCGUAACAAAAGAUAAAUUUAACGAUAUUAAGGUAUAUUCAAAAAACUCUCUAACUAUAAGCCAUUUUCUAAAAGGCGUGCCAAGGCGUCACCUAGGCGCAAUGUACGGUGAAAACGCCAAGUCAAGUGGCUGGGCACCUUAUUUAUCAAUCAAUGAUUGAAAAAAAAAAUUGCAUAGAUACCCUCAUUUUUUGAAUGUUCAUAUUUGCAUGUUGUAACAAAAGAUAAAUUUCACAAUAUUAGGGCAUAUUCAACAGACUCUCUAACUAUAAGCAAUGUUCUAUAAGGCACACCGAGGAAUCGCCUAGGCAUGGUGCACGGUGAAAACGCCAAGCCAAGCAGCUUGGCGCCUUAUUUAGCGGUCAAAAUGCGCGCGUAGGCAUGAUAGCGGGCAUUAUUAUCUUUUUUUUUAAAUUUUUUUUUACUAUUCUUUUAAGUUAAAACUUAAAGAUUGAUUUCUUCACUUUGUCUACCCCAUAUUCAAAAAAGCCGCUUGAAGCCUUAAACAAAUGAUAACUCCCAAAAAUUCUUAUAUAUUUACUAUUUAGUAUUUACAUUUUCAACCUAUGCUUUUGUUGGAAACUUUGAAAAAAUGUAUAAAGUUCCUAUAAAUCUAUUUUAGAUGUUUGAUAGAUAUUAUUUUUAAUUAUUAAAUAUUUUUUGAUUGAUUAAAAUUAAAAUAAUAUUAAAAUAAGAAAACGUCUCUUUACGCUUUUUUACGUCUAUGCCUAACUUAAGCUCGCCUAACCCAUAGCUACGUAAUACGUCUUUUAAAACAUUAUAGAGUCAAUGCUUUAUAAUAAAUUCCAAUAGAUUCUUUCACCUAACUUUUUUUUUUUUAAAUAGAGAAUGAAUUGAUUUUUUAAAUUUGAAGAGUCAAAUUCACCCUACAAUUUUAUUUUAUAAUAAUUGCAUUUAAUAAGUUACAUAUUUCAAUACUCUAUUUCUUAAAUUAUUCAAAUUUUAUUUAAAUUGUUUUGUCAUUAACAUAUAAAGAAAUAUAAUAAAAAAAAAAGAUGGAAAGAAAUGUUUCUUGAAAAAAUAAAAUGGAAGGUCAAAAUAGAUAGCAUUGUUAGAGUUACAAAACAAUUUAUUCUCUAAAUUUAAAGAUAAUAUUUAUUAUACACAAGAUGCUCUUUAUAAGUAGAUAAUCUCUUAGAGAUGCUUUUACUUUAGCGAUAGAAUUUUUAGAAACUUAAAUGGAAUAUAUCCCAUUUCUUCCCGUUAUUUAUGCCAAGGCAAUAUAAGAGUUUCUUUCACCUUUGUUUAGUGGUGGCAAUGGGCCGAACAGAGUUGGCUAGAGAUCAUUAACCAUGAGUUUGGGUUGUGGGUCAUGGGCCGAGCCAAACUUGGCACACGAGCUCAUUGUGUGUUUGUGUGUGUGUAUGUGUGUAUUGUUUAACCCUUCUAUUAGGCUUCAAUAAUUAUUCGGAGAAUUGAAAUAUUGAUGUAACAAUCUUUCUUUUUCAUUAAAUUGAAAUAUUUAAUAUAUAAAAUUUAUAUGAUGUUUGAUUUGAAUAACUGAAUUAUAUGAACAUGACAUGUAUGAAGUUGUAGAAGUAAAAUGUAAAAAUAAUAAAUUGUAUUGAGAUUUGAAAUUUGAUAAAUAAAUUAUAUUUUGAAAACCCUCCUCUUUUUAUCCAGGUUAGGGACCGACUACUUAUUUUCGAGUAGGUGAGUUAAAAUUGGAUACAAACAACUAAUUAUGUUUACAAUUUUUUUUUUUUUAAAUGAAGCUUCCGAAAAUGAGAAUCCAUUUUCUCAAGUUACAGGUAUUGUCAUUGACGAUGCUUGGAAUUUGAAGAGAUGGUUUCUUCAUUUUCGGAGGCUUGAAUUUUUAAAAAAUAAGCAAUCUUCGUUUUCAUUAAUGAUGUAGAGAACAUUUUGAUUGAGUUAAGAAUUAUAGUUCCUCGAGUCUUUAAUCUGACAAGGUAUGCGUUCACCUGCUUUGUUCUCCAUGCAAAGCAAAAACUCUUGACUCACUCAAGAUGUCUGGUAGUUAAGACUUGAAAAUUUGAAAUUAGAUUUUAUUUUUUAUUAAACCUUUUUUUUUAUAAAAAAAACUCUCCUUUUAUAUGGGCUUGAAACCGAUUACUUAAUUUUCGAGUAGGUAGAAUUAAAAUUGUAAACGAACAAGUUGUUUUCAUUUACUUGAUUAUACACAAUUUUCUCAUACAGAUAAUGUAUUAAAAAAUAUGUGUCUUGCCAAUUCUUUACGCACAUCAAUGCUUUAAGAAUAUAUUCUUAGAGUCGGAUCCUUAACUUGGACAGAGUCCUCUUAUCUGUACUAAAAGUGGUCUCCAAGCUAUAACGCUAUUUGGAGGCGUUAGUAGAUCUUUUGCAAUUACAAAAACAACAGGGCAUUUUUGUUCAUUCUCCAGCCAAAAAUCGAGUAAAUCAAAUUGUAUAGUAUUAAUAGGUUCUACGCUCCAAAGUGUUUGAUGAUUAAAAUAUUUAACUAAUUCAAUAGGCAUUCCAGCAAGACUUGCGUCCGAAGUCGAAUUACAUGCAUGAGACAUACUACAAGAACAUUCUGCUUCAUAUUUUUCAUUCCUAAUGCCUUCAAAUAAGGACGGAAAUUAGACUUCAUUAACUUGAAGAGUAGUAGAAGGGGUUGGUGCGGUGGGUGUUCGAUUAAUAUUUGUACCCAAGCGCUAUGCGUAUGUUUCGUACAUUGAAGUGAACGUGUUUUCUAAAUUUGAAUAAAUAAUGGGUGCAUCAAAUUUUAAAUAGUUUGUUAUUUUAUUAAUAAUAUAUUUAGUAUCUCUUAAAUUGUACUCGGGGUUCAUUACACUUGUUAAUACUAAAAGUGGUCUCCGAGCUAUAAUGCUAAUUGGAGGCAUUAGUAGAUCUUUUGCAAUUAUAGAAAUGACAGGGCAUUUUUGUUCAUUCUCCGGCCAAAAAUUGAGUAAAUCAAAUUGUAGAGUAUUAAUAGGUUCUACGCUCCAAAGUGUUUGAUGAUUGAAAUAUUUAACUAAUUCAAUAGGCAUUCCAGCAAGACUUGCGUCCGAAGUCGAAUUACAUGCAUGAGACAUACUACAAGAACAUUCUGCUUCAUAUUUUUCAUUCCUAAUGCCUUCAAAUAAGGAUAGAAAUUAGACUUCAUUAACUAGAAGAGGAGUAGAAGGGGUUGGUGCGGUGGGUGUUCGAUUAAUAUUUGUACCCAAGCGCUAUGCGUAUGUUUCGUACAUUGAAGUGAACGUGUUUUCUAAAUUCGAAUAAGUAAUAGGUGCAUCAAAUUUUAAACAGUUUGUUAUUUUAUUAAUAAUAUAUUUAGUAUCUCUUAAAUUGUACUCGGGGUUCAUCACACUUGUUAAUGGAAAUAACAUUGGCAAGUCUUCCCAUUAUUUUUUGAACUUUAAUUCUUAAAAAAAAAAUCAUGAAAAUCGGGAUCAUUUUUGUAUUUUUGAAAACACUUUGCAAUGAUAUGAAGACGUUCAAGAGCUCUUGACCUAUGAGGUAGUAUAUUCCGGAUAAGACAUUUGUGGAAUCAUAAAAGCUUGUCAAAUAUUUUUUUAUUUUUUAUUUUUUUACUUUAAAGGCUAGUCCAAGUUAGUAUCAAUAGUUGAAGUGAUAAAUGAGACCCACUUAUUUGUAUAAACGAUUUAUUUUUCUUACGUGUACUUUUUAAAAUUUAUCAUAAGUUACUUGGGUCGAAUAUUUAAGUAUUUUAGAAGUUGAUAAAAAUAUACCAAUAUUAUACUCAUUUUUUAGCUCAUGUCAAAUAAUAUAAUUUGAACUCAAGAAAAAGUAAUUUUGAGCUAGCUAUACCUGUGUUAUUCCAAUAGAAAGAAAAAGUAUUAUCCUCAAAUAUUUUAUUAAUAUACAAUAUAAAAAUAAUAAUAAGAAAAUGGGACGGUCAUAUAUAUGAAAGGGUAAUAAAAUUAAUUUAAACCUAAACAUGGCAUUCACUUUAAAUUGAUUUAGAACUCAUUAAAAUCAUUAAGCAAUAAUUAUUAAUUUCAUUAACCCUCGUUAACAUGAAAAUGCUUUUUGAUUUAUGUAAGUUACGUGCACAGUGGAAAUGUGUGUGUAUGUGAGAGAGAGAGAUGAAAUGAUUUUUCUUUUACCACAAAGUUUAUAUUGUACACAUUUUACACCACUAACACUUUUAGAAUUGAACAAAGUUAUAUAUAUAUAUAUAUAUAUAUAUAUAUAUAUAUAUAUAUAUAUAUAUAUAUAUAUAUACACACACACACACUACACCAAAAAUCAUCUUUCGCAACGGUCAAAAAACGUUGCCAAAGACCUAGGGCAACGUUCAAGCUUCUCUUCUGGGUUUCAACGUUGCCGUAGAAGGAAGAGUUUUGGCAACGUUCAAAGACCAUUGCAAAUUAAGGUUUUGGCAACGUUUCAUUUGCGAACGUUGCCAAAACCCUCAUUUGCAACGUUUUUUGAACGUUGCCGUAGGUCAUUUAAUUCAAUUAUUUUAUUUUAUUUUAUUUUAUUUUUGCAUUUUUUUUAUUUGUAUAGCAAUUUACCAAAUCAACCACAAAAUAAAAAAGACUUUUUGGGCUUACAUGAAAUUGAUAUAAUUUUAUUAAUCCAUACCAAAUAGACAAAACACAUCAUUGUAAUAAAUCGAAGAAAAAAUUUCAUUUACAUAUUUCCCAUCAAAUAAACAUCAUCCUAAACUGCUCACUUGUCAGUGGCAAGUUGUGUCCGGAGUUGCUUGGCAACGACAACCAUGUUUUGUAGGGCCGACUUCACUUCAGUGUACUUGCGAGUCUUGAGACCAUAGUUGGGGUUAACCCACAAGACGUUGGUUUCGAGCACUGCAAGCAUCUUGUUAAUUCUGUCAGCAAUUUCUUCUAUUGAUGGUAUUCUGGGCGAGUGGAUAUCGUAAACACGUGGGCUAAUUCUAGCACCGUACUUCACUCCGUCGUGGAAAACUGAAAGGAGCUUCUCAUCAGAACGAGAGUUCUCAAUGGUGAUCACAUUAGCGUCCAUGUCAAUAAUAGAGUGGGUGAUAAUAUUGAAGUUGGAGUAGCACAUGUGGGCAUGGAUCUGUUGGAAAUGAAGGAAUAUUAUCCCGUCAACAAACAUAAACUAUAACACGUGGUAUUGAGGACAAGGAAGUGCAGGGAUUUACCGGGUCAUGACCUGAACACCAGCAUUGGUUAUUCUGAAAGAGUGGUCGGCCCAAUCCAAGUAGAAAGCAUGCUCAAACUUCCUAAGGCGCAAGCCUUCUCUGAAUGCAGCCUCGUCAAUUCGGGUAACAGUGAUGCCUGCCUUCUCGAGAUCCUCUACUUCAUCCUUACUGGCCAAAGUAAUGCAAUAGUAGCCCAUGACUUAAUUAUACAUUCCAUAGCUGCAACUUAAUUUAGUAAGCAUUCUUACUUAAUGACCACUUAGCAAACACUUUAAGAUCAGAUUUCAACAAUCUUUCUGAAUUUUUUUCCAGUAAGUGUAAAUAUAGAAACUCAACCAAAAAUACCUAUCAUCAUAUAGGCCAGGGAAACCAUAUUCUAAGAUUUGACACAAAAAGUUUCGUGGAAAUGAGGCAUCAUUUUUGCAACUAAAGAAAAUACCAUUCAACAUUGAAUUAUUUUCAACAAGUCUAAAUGAUGAGGCCUUGCAAGCCAACAAACUGACCAUAUUAAACCUCCAACAUACGCAUUUUUUUGCAGUAUUAGGCAGAAUAAUAUUCCAAGACCAACCCAACAAUAAAAAUUCUCUUCCCAUAACAAUCCCAAAAUCAGGAACUAAAUGAAGAUUAUAAUCUGACACAAUCCCUCAUAAAUGAUAGUGACUCUGCAAUCAAACUAACAAGGCAAAAUGUCAUAAACAAGAAUUACGGAUUUAUUUAGAUGAAACUUUAUUCUUCCACGAAGUCAAUAAAAAGCAUAGUAUAUUAUGAAAUAGGAAAAAAAUAAACGAACCCAAAAUGGAAAUCUGGAGUCAGAUUUGGGUGAAGCUAUGGUAGAUUCGACUCUCAACAAUUUUGGUUGUUUGUGGCCACGCGUCCAUCCGCUCCUGCUAGUACAUUCGAAUGAUGAAUACAGAGUGAAAGUUGGAAGUGAGGAGGAAUGGAGGCUUGAAGCGAAGAGGAGAAUGGAGGAUUUAGGGCAAUCUUUGAAAUUUGGCGGAGUUGGGUUUUUAUGGGUUGGGUCCAGUAAGAUUUAAUUGGAUUGGAGAUGUGUUGGGCAAAUUUAAAUGGGCCAUUUGAAAUGGGGGUGGUGGAGAUUAAUAACAAGUGGCAAAGAAUGUUACUAAAUGUUAUAGUUUUGCAACAGUCAAAGCGCGUUGUAAAAGGGAACAUACUGCAACAUCUAAUGACCGUUGCAAAAACUAAAAACAUUCGCAACAGCCCAUGAACGUUGCAAAAACUAAAAACAUUCGCAACAGCCCAUGAAAGUUGCAAAAACUCAAACCUUUCGCAACGAUCACGGAACGUUGCAAAAAGUUGUUUCGGCAACACACACCAAACAUUGCUGUAGAUAACACAUUUUACAGCACUAAAAAAGGUUGCAAAAAGCUAGAGUUUUCGCAACAAUAAUUGAACACUGCGAAAAGUGACAUUGACAACAUGCAUUGAUAGAUUGUUGCCAAAACACAAUUAUUCACACCAACAGCAACAUACAAUUAGUGAAUGUUGCGAUUGACCACUUUUAGCAACAUGCAAUUGAUGAAUGUUGCCUUUUGCAUGUUACAAAAAGCUUUUUUGUUGUAGUGUGUGUGUGUAUAUAUAUAUAUAUAUAUAUAUAUAUAUAUAUAUAUAUAUAUGUUCAUUUAUUUAUUUAUUUAUUUCACAAGCUAUAUUUCAAAUAUCUUGGUAGCAAUUGAGAUAAAAAUGUAUAGUGCAAAGUGGUAAAUUCUUAUUUCUUGAUCUUUAUAAAUUUUGCCAUGAAAUCCUAUAAGGUUUUAGGGUCGAUUUCUAUGUUAAAUCCUACGGGGAUAGACCGUUAGGUCAAUUAUGUAAAUCCUUUGGGGUAUAUUAAUUUUUAAGAAAUUCCUUGAGCCAUUGGAUGUAGUGGCUAGUUUGCUUUAAAUCUAAGAAAUGUUGGUAUGUUAUAUCAUUUUACAUUUAUAUCACGUUAAUAAGAAUAUGCGCAUAUUUUUACUAAGUAUAUUCAAAAUACUCACUCUUACAAUAACUUUUCAAAUUAGAAUGGGUCAUGUGGAUGCGUGGAAGAUUGAUCGAAUGAUGCGCACGUUAUUUUAGUAAUUUUGGUGUUUGAGCCUUGAGAUCCCAUGUCGAAUUGAAUUUGACAAAUUUAAAAUCUUCAUAUUUAAUAUUUAAUUAUAUAUGAAAUUUUUUAUUUAAAUCAUUGAAUUUAAGAUUUAUUGAACAAAAUCCCAAUAUUUAUACAAUCAUGUUAAAAUUUGUGUAAACUAGAUAAGAAAGAUUUUGAUAACACUUCAAAUCCUCAUAUAAAAAAAAAAAUUGUAAUAGACUUGGACGUUGCAGCUUGGUAUCAAAGCCCAAAUCUAUCUUUUUGGAGGCCGGAUUAAAAAAAAAAUUAUAUUUUUUACGAUCAUGUAUAAUAUGAAUUUUGUUUAAGUAAAUUAUGAGCAAAAAAAAAAAAAAAAAAAUUUGUGGUCCCAACAUUGAGGUGAUUUAACUUAGACCGUGGUUUAUGAUUGUGUUAAAAACAAUGUACAUGAAUAGUGAAAAGUGUGUUACUGUUCACUGUUAUAAUUUGAGUUGAUAAUUUAUAUCAAGUAAAACUUUUUGUUAUAUAACUUUUCCUUCAAGACUAGUAUGAAGCCCACCUUUUUUGAAAUGAUAAGAAAAAUUCUUGAAAAGCUCCAGACUUUUGAAUAGUUUGACUGUUUUGCUUUCUUUUGACUUUUUAAGCAUAUUUAUUCAACANNGCAUAACUUAGCACUUAUUCAUUUGCUUCAUUGCUGAUCUGGAACUUUAUCACAAAGCAAAUUGUUCCUUACAAUUUUUUAUUUUUAAAAUUUAUAGACAUAGACUUAGAGUAAUGUGUUGCUUAGGUAUCUUUAUUUUUAUUUUUGUAAAAAAAAAAAAAAUCUAUAUAUGAUGAUAUUUUAUCUGAAUCUUAAAUAAAUAUAUUAAAAUAAGACCUAUACCAUUUAUCACUCGUCAAUCAAUUACUAUCUAACGGGCCAAGGCACGAAAUAAAAUGUUAUGUUCCAUUUUAUUUUUCGACCAUGAUAUAUGAAUUAUUUAAGCUUAAAUUCAUAAAAUGCUUAUGAGAUAUUUAGAAUGAAAUAUAUUAUGCAAUUAUUUCUUUGUUCUAAUUUACAUGAAGGCAUGAUGAUUGGCCAUUAUAUUAAAACCACAAGAGCAUAACGUAUACUUUGAUAUCAUUAACAAGGAUAAAAUAUAAUUGAACCCUUAUGUUACAGACAUGGCUAGAACUUAUCAAAUCUAUAGAAAGACCAUAACUUGUAGAGUAGUGUUGAACCGUAGGUCUAUCAUUCACUCUAAUGAGAAUUACUUUAUUGACCCGACUCGUUCGCUUGUCGAACACGUGCAAGACAUCUUUGAAAAAUUUAUGGUAGCUGUGGAUGCAUGACUGGAGAUCAUGCAUACCAAGGCUAUGAAUAACCUCAUAUACUCACUUUUACCUCAAUGGGGAAACAUGGGAGUUAUUGCUAGGGAUGAGAUGUUAGAAGGUAACCCUCUAGAGUACCUAAACACUAUGAAUUUGGCAUAUAUUGUCAAACCCUUCUAGAUAGGUGGAGCAAAAGCUUAGAACCUAAAUCGGAGAUAGUAAAUAAGCUCAAUGAUGAGGUUGAGCCUAAGUCUAAGCUUGAGACAGAGCCCAAGCCCAUACCUCAGUUUGAAUCAGACCUAGAGAAAGAUCCUAAAUGGGAGCAUGGAGAGGACUUUGGGUUGGAUUUAGGAAUAGGCAUGAGCAUGACCUUGCCACUGGUUAAGAUGGACAUAGAGUCUGGGCCUGAGGGAGAAGACUCCUUCGAAGAUGAAGCUCCACCAAUGAAGAUUCGUAGGAUUCAUAGGGAUUAGAAACUUUGAUUCUUUUUCCCUUUGUACUUUCUUCAUUAUGUUAUUGGAAAUUAAAAUUUGUCGAACUAUUGUAUAUCUAGAUUUCAAAGAGUAUUAUUAAUAAAAAAAUUAAUUUCAUUGAGUAUAUUGAGCUACUAUGUUAUCCAACAUUUCUAAGACAAUUUAUUUUUGUUGAUGUAAAAAAUAUGGCAAGACAACAAGACCAACGAGCUAUGUUUAGGGAUCUAAUGAGGGCUGUUCAUGACCUAGAUAAGAACCAGGCACCGUACCAACACCUCCUCAGAAUAGAUGGGGAAAUGUCAACAAUAUGGGUUCAAUUGUGGAGCAUUUUUGCCAUUUCAAGCUUCCUUCUUUCGAUGGCAAGGCAGACCCUUUGGCAGCUGAAGAGUUGUUAAGAUUUCUGGAAUGAAUCUACAAACACAUGGCCUGUACAGAUAUACAGAAGGUAUCAUAUGCCAAAUUUUUGCUGGUUGGAACAGCAGGCCACAGGUGGAAGUCUGCUUUGCGCACCAAAACGAAGGCACAAUAACGUGAUAUGACUUGGGCACAGCUAAAAAAAGAAGUGAUGACAAAGUACUUUUUCCAAUCCUUAAGGGCACAGCUCAAAGAGCACUCCAAAUUUUAAUUAUAUUUUUAUAUGGGCUAAGUUUAAUGCUGGUCAUUUAGCAAAUGAAAUAGUCCAUGUCCAGUCUUGUCGCACACUAAAGCCCAAAAGUUGAAGUGAUAAAUGCGACCCACUUAUUUGCAUAAAUGAUUUAUUUUGCUUACGUGUAUUUUUGAAAAUUUAUCAUAAAUUAUUUAAAUAUUUUAGAAGUUGAUAAAAAUAUAUCAAUAUUAUACUCAUUUUGUAGGUUGUGUUAAAAUAAUAUAAUUUGGGCUCAAGAAAAAGUAAUUUUGAGCUAGUUAUGCCCGAGUAGUUCUAAUAGAAAGAAAAAAGUAUUAUCCUCGAAUAAUAAUGAUGAUGAUGAUGAUGGGAGCUUUCAUGGGAUGAUUACAUAUAUGAAAUGAGAGCUUUCAUGAUACGAUUAUAUAUAUGAAAAGGUAAUUAAAUUAAUUUAAACCUAAAAAUUACAUUUACUUUGAAUUGAUUUAAAAUUCAUUAAAAUCGUAAACCAAUGAUGAUUAAUUUCAUUAACCCUCAUUAACAUGAAAAUGCCUUUUGAUUUAUGUAAGCUACAUGCAUAGUAGUAGAAAAAUAUACAUAUAUGUGUAUAUUUGAGAUGAAAUGAUUUUUCUUCUACCAAAAAGUUUAUAUUGUACACAUUUUACACCACUGACAUAUGCGGAAUUGAACAUAGUGAAUAUAUAUAUAUAAUUGAGGUAAGAAUACAUAGUGCGAAGUGGUAAAUUCUUAUUUCUUGAUGUUUAUAUAAAUUUUGGCAUGAAAUACUUACUAUAAGGACUUAGGGUCGAUUUCCGUGUUAUAUCCUACGAGAUAGACCAUUAGGUCAAAUAUGUAAAUCCUAUGAGAUAUAAAAAUUCUUAAGAAAUUCCUUAAGCCAUUGGGUAUUGCAAUCAGUUUGCUCUAACUCUAAAAAAUGUUUGUAUAUUAUAUUAUUUUAUAUUUAUAUCAUAUUAAUAAAAUAUGCACAUAUUUUUACUAACUAUUUUUAAAAUAUUCACUUUUACAAUAACUUUUCCAGAUUAGAACAAGUUGUGUGGAUGCGUGGAAAAUUGAUCGAGUGAUGCUUAUGGAGUCACCAAGUAAAAAAUUUAGAAAUGAUUAUUUCAAUUUUUUAUUUUAAGGAUAAAUUUUAAGUUAAAUUCCAUACACAUUAUUUUAGUAAUUUUUGAGUCUGAGGCUUGAGAUCCCAUGUUGAAUUGUAUUUGACAAAUUUAAAUUCUUCGUAUUUAAGAUUUAUUCAUAUAUGAAAUUUCUCAUUUAAAUUGUUGAAUUUAAGAUUCAUCGAUCAAAUCCCAAUAUUUGUACAAUCAUGUUAUAUUUCGUAUAAACUAGAUAAGAAAGAUUUUGGUAACACUUCAAAUCCCCAUUUUAAAAAAAUAAAAAAAUAUAUGUAGUAGAUUUGGGAUGUUGCCGUCGCAUACCAUCUUACACAAUUAAAUUAAAACUAUGACAAAUACAAAUGAACAUGAAACAAAAAACCACCAAAAUCAGGAUUAAGUUUUCUCCAAAGUUAUCUAUAGUAGACUUGUUAUGAUUAGCGUUGCCAAAUAUAAAAGAACGAAUUUUAUUUCCAUAUUUAUAUUCCAUAAUAAUUUGCAGGAUAGAAUUAAAAAUAUUAUUAGCAUUAUAAGGAUAGUCAAUUAUCGUAAAAGUAUUUAUUUUAUUUUUUUGGCAUAAAUAAAAGUAGGUUUAUGUAGUGUGCAUUGCUGCUAAAUAAGAUUUUUUUAUUAAUACUUUCCUUUAAAUCUGAAGUCCAAUAUAUAACAUCACCAUAUUUAUUUAAAUUACUAAUCAAUUGAUUCUUAAAUCUAUGGAAACAACCAAUGGUAUCACUGUGAAGAGUAUUUUUACUUGCCCCUUCGUACCUUCGUUGAAGAUAUUCCUUCACAAAUGUUGUGAAAUGCUCAUUGUCCACUAUGCUCAGCGGCAACUCUGCACUGACAACGAUCUUCACCAUUCGAUCACGAGUUCUUUCCUACGAAUACAUCAUGUGCUCAGUGUUGAAGAAUCACUAUUGGAAGGAGUACCAAAGGUUAGUUGUGUUUGAGAUUGACCAAUAAGCUAGCCCAUGUUUGGCUGUACAUUUGAUGGUGAUUGAGGUGGGUAGUACUGCUACCGUUUUGCCAUGCCAAUCUUAGUUGGCACUACUUAUACACUGCUUUAAACUCUUGGACUCUGUUGUUAGUGUGACCAGUUGAAAUCAUUUAAAGUGCUCCCAACACUUUAAAUGAUUUUUCCCUUUCGCUUUCCUCUUGUUUCGGGAAUUCGUAGUUCGAAUUUGCCUAUAUCUUCAUCUAUGUCAUCCAAAUCAAUUGGAUUACUACUUCCACGUGCAUCGUCAAUGCCCAUUCUCGACAAAUCAUCAGGGAUGAAGAUGAUUAGGAAAUUGAGAUUGUGGGUUCAUAGGUGAUGUUGAUCACCCACUCCUCAGUCUUUGAAGGGUAAUCUUUCCCCAUAAGCUUACAUUACCGAGACUUCCUUUUAUGCUUCAAUACCCUAUCUACCUAGUACCAUAGUUUAAAAAGCUGAUUGAGGGCAAAACCUCUUCUUCUGUCUUCCUAGCCUCAAGACAAAAGAAAUAAAAAAAGUAAGUCAAAAUUAUCCAGAAUCCCCUUGAUUGGUCUCCUCAGAUUUACGAAUUUGCAAGGGACCCCUUAAGUCGUCGAAGGCAAGGCUGGAUUUAAUGAUGCUCAAGCGAAGUGAUUGGCUACCGAACAAGCCCUCAUUGAAAUCAAGAUGAUCCAUUUGUAUCAUAUAAUAGAAAUAAAGAAUGCAAAAUGUAAUGUAGAGCAUGAAGAUAAAAUGUAUAAAUUAGAUAAUGUAUAGUGUAGAUAAUGAAUUAAGAGAAUGAAGGUAUGUGGAUAUAAUAUAAUUGUGCUUCCACCAAUGAAUUGUUCAUUUGGUUUUUUGAAUUUGUAGUGUUUGUGCUAAUUGAAAUUUCAGCGUCUCUUUCUGUGAAAAACCAGGUUGUCUAGCUUGAGGCAACAAACCUUCAUUCCCCAACAUUAACACAGCUGUAGACAUGCUUGGCCUAUCUUGCGAGGAUUGUUGAACUCAUAAAACUCCCACAUGGACCAAUCAAAGCACUUCUCAUAAAUAGCUUGAGAUGUUAAGGUAAACAUUGACUAAUUCCAAAGACCUUUCUUCUUUACACAGCGUCCAUGCCUAUGCUUACUAAACUAAGUUGAAAGGACCAUCUUUUCUAAUCCAAAUGCUAAAAAGAAAAAUUUCGAUGUGAAGUGCAUAGAAAUAAAGAAACUAUACUUAUAUGUCUAAGAAGGUUGUGGUAUUGGUCUCUGUGAGAAAAUCCUCUAUUUCUUUUGGUCUAUUGUACAAAAUUUUUAUCAAGAAAUAAAAAUUACCUAGAUUUUGAAAUCCACCUUGGUUUAUCUUCACAAUAUCUAAUUUUCAAUUAUCCUCAAAAUUAAGCAAAAAAGUGGAAAUCAAGAGUCAACCCAGCAGCUAGGUGGAAUGGGACGCAGCCACCACCAGGUUGGGUCAAUUAAAUGUGAACUCAGCUGUGUAUUUAGAAUAUGGUGAAAAUUUUUCAAUUUUUGGUCCAUCAUUUAGAAUUCUACUUUUGGAUAUUCAAGCUAAUAUGAAGAGUCUUCAAAUAUUACACGGCUUGUUUAUUUGACUUGCUUGAGCUAGAGAUGAUUGAAAUAUCGACAUUGGCAUUACCAUGAACCUAGUUGGAUGCUGCUACAUGAAUAUUUUUAAUUGACUCCAAAGUUAGACAAUAAGUUUAAUCACAGAGAUAUUUUUUGAUUUAUUUAUAACAUGUACCUUUUUGUGAAAAUGCUUUGUUUCUCUUGGUAUCUCAAGCACCAAAACCCCCAAAGCGAAAUAAAUCUGAUUUCACCUAAAAUGGGCCAUCUAUAGCAUAUUUUGGGGAAAUGUUGCCACUACAUGAUAAAAAAUAAUAUCCAAAAUCAGAGUUAUGAGAAAUAGAAGAGUCAUUUCAUAUAUUAUGGGAUUGAGAUUUGUAAUAUGUUCCAACUACUAUGAUAUCUUCUAGUGUAUAUCAAAAUUCGAAAAAAAUUAUGCUGGCUUUGGUCUCUAUGAAUGAUUCUGAUUCGGGAAUCUUGAUGGAGAUGUUAAGUUGUGGAGCUCAAGUAUUGUUACUAUAAAGAGGCAAUAUGUGGAUUGAAAAGGAUUGUGAUUUUUCUCUUGUGAACUUUUUUACCAUAGUGAAUUAAUUAGAGCAUACGUAGUCUCACGUUGAGGUGAACUUCUAUAACUAUUGCUUGUUCUGUUUUGUAUUUUUUCCUUAUUAUGAUUUUAUUGCUCUUAAUUUUAUAGAAUUAGAGUUUAUAAUUCUCAAUAAGAGAUACAUAAAACCUGGAGCAAUACCAUUGUUGUUGUAGUGUGACCUAAAUUCUUGGGUUUUAGGAGUAGUAGUUGGGUUGAUCUUGGAGAAAUCAACUUAUGGACCGGGAUAAAUUAUUGUUGCAUUUUCACUAGCUAUUCGCUAGCUGGACGCUCGAGCCCUUGAAGCAGAGCAGCCUCGAUCACUUCUUGUCGGUCGAAUUGUCGCUCGAGCAACAUCCAUGUCACUAGCUGCCUUUUGACACUUCCCGAGCGAUAGUAUUAUCUGGACAGUUCCAAAAUUUUCACGAUUUAACGUAUUUUAGACUCCUAUUGAUCUUCAACUAGGUUUUUUGGGCAUCUCUAUAUAUACAAUCCGUUGUAUUGUAUUGCACAUAUAUGAAAUCUCGAGAGAUUGAAAGAGAACAAAUUGACAACAUCUUGUGUGCUUACAUUCAAUUGAGGGUAUUGACUCUAGACAUUUUAAACACAUUUCUAUUGGUUACACUGAAUUUUCUUCUCAUCUGCCCAUGGUCUUUCCCAAAAAAAGGUUUUCCAUGUAAAUCUUGAUUUAUUUACUUUUUUGUUUUAUCUCAUUCAUAUCUUGUGAUACACAUUCAUAACAAGUGGUAUCAGAGCAUAAGGUUGAUCUCCAUUUGGCAACGAUGAAGUAUGAUAUUCUGAUGUUGGAUCAAAACACGAGGAUUAGUUUAUGGCAAGCAAAGAUGAGAGUCGUUCUUGCGCAGAUGGAUUUAGAGGAAGCUUUGCUUGACUUUGAUAAGAUGUCUUCUACCUGGAUGCACGAAGAGAAGCAGCGCAGGGAUUGAAAAUCCUUAACUCAGAUUCAUCUUCAUCUUUCAAAUCAAAUUCUUUAGGAUGUUUUAAAGGAGAAAAGUGUCAUUGCGUUGUGGUUGAAGUUGGAGCAGCUCUACAUGACAAAGAGCUUGACCAGCAAGUUACACUUGAAACAGCGCUUGUAUUCUCAAAGGAUGUUUGAAGGUGGAUCAUUGGAUGAUCACUUAACUUUGUUCAAAGAAAUCAUGGCCGACUUGGAAACAUUCGAGGUUAAUUACGACAAGGAGGACUUGGCGUUGAUGUUGUUGUGUUCAUUGCCGCCAUUAUAUGUGAUGUUUAGAGAUACUAUUCUUUAUAGUUAUGAUAUUCUCACAGUGGAGGAGGUCUAUGAUGCCUUAUAGUCUAAGAAGAAGUUGAAGCAUCUUACUGAGGGAUCUAAAAGUCAGGCCGAGGGCCUGGUUGCUCGUGAGAGGAGUCAAGAUAGGAAACUUGGAAAGAAUAUGAGGGACUGAUCAAAGUUGAGGCAUGCAGAGAAAACAUGUCAUUAUUGUAAGAAGAUGGGGCAUAUUAGAGUUGACUGCUAUGCCUUGAAAAUAGAAACAAAGCUCUGGGUGCAAAUGGUGAGGAAAAAUGUCCUGUUGAUUCAGUGGAGGCUAACAUUGUGGAAAACGAGCUAAGCGAAGGAUAGCUUCUUAUGAUCUUUGAUAUGGGAUCCAAACCUUGUUAGGAAUGGGUUAUGGAUUUGACAUGUACCUUCUAUAUAUGUCCAAAUAGGGACUUGUUCACUUCAUAUGAAGGGGUUUCGAGAGGUGCAGUGAUUACAGGAAACAAUGCGCCUUGCAAAGUCAUCAAAGUUGGUACUAUCAGGAUCAAGAUGUUCGAUGAGAUUGUCACAACAUUUACAACUGUCAGGCAUGUUCCAGAACUGGAGUGAAAUCUUAUAUCAUUGAGUUCUCUUGACUUAAAAGGUUGUAAGUACAUUGGUGAAGGUGGAGUUCUAAAAGUGAGCUUGGGUGCUCUUGUUGUCAUGAAUGGGCAUAAGAAUUCUGCACAACUGUACAUUUGGCAAGGUUCCACUAUUACAGGAGAUGCAGUAGUUUCUACUUUUUCUUUGAUGGAGGAUGAAGUGACAAAACUUUGGCACAUGUGGCUUGGACAUAUGAAUGAAAAGGAAACGGCAGAGUUGAGCAGAAGGGGGCUUUUUGAUGGGCAGAAGACCAGUAAGAUGGAAUUUUUGCGAGCACUGUAUUUUUGAAAAAUAGAAAUAGAAAAGGAAUAGAUUCUUUAAAUGAAGACAUGACAUGAAGGGAAUACUAGAGUAUAUCCAUUCAGAUCUCUGGGGGUCGGCCAGAGUGCCUUCAAGGGGAGUUGCAUAUUACUUGAUGAAAUUAAUUGAUGAUUACUCUAAAAAUGUUUGGGUAUUCUUCUUAAAGUAGAAGAUUGAUAUAUUUGGGACCUUCAAAGAGUGGAAAACAUUGGUAGAAAAGUAAACUCGAAAGUUGAUAAUGGAUUGAAGUUUUGUUUAGAAGAAUUCAAUAGCUUCUACAGGGCUGAAGGCAUCUUGAGACACUUGAUAGUGUCCAUAACUCCUCAACAGAACAGUGUGGCUGAACGGAUGAAUAGAACCUUGAUGGAAAAGGUUCAUUGUAUGUUUUUGAAUUUUGGGUUGCCUAAGUCUUUUUGGGCUAAAGCUAUUACUAUAGUAUGUUUGCUCAUCAGUCACUCGCCCUCAACGGCCAUUGAAAAUAAAACACCAAAAGCGGUAUGUUGUGGUAAACCCUUUUGUUACACUAAUUUCAAGAUCUUUGGUUGUCCUGCGUAUGCUCAUGUGAAUAAUGAAAAAUUGGAGCCUAGGUCUAGAAAGUGUAUCUUUCUUUGGUAUAAAUCAGGAGUAAAUGGUUAUAAGUUUUGGUGUCCAGAAGAGAAGAAAGUGGUGAUUAGUAGGGAUGUAGUGUUUGAUGAACUUGCUAUAAUUCGUAGAAGACCUCUUGCGGAUCCUAGUAAAUCUAGAGAACAGAGUCAUUCAACUCAAGUGGAGUUUGAAAUUAGCCCUGGGGAACAAUCAAAGGUUACAGAGUAGUCUGGUUCAGAGGAGACAGACAGUAAUAACUUACCUAUACCACCACCAGCACCAUAGCAUUCGAUUGCAAAGGACAAACCUCGCAGAUAGAUUAAACCUCUAUAGAGGUAUGAAGAGGCAGACUUGGUUGCUUAUGGUUUGUGUGUAAUUGAAGAUAUUGAUUCCACUGAGGAACCUGCUACAUAUUUAGAAGCAGUCAGUUGCAGUGAUUUUGGCAAAUGGUUGAUUACAAUGUAGGAGGAGAUGAAGUCUUUGAAUAAAAACACACUUGGGACUUAGUGAAAUUACCUAACGACAAAAUGAUUGUUUACUAUAAGUGGGUGUUCAAAAGGAAAGAAGGGACAUCAGGGAUGGAAGAUACCAAGUUUAAGGCUAGGUUAGUAGCAGAGGGUUAAAGUCAGAUUCCAGGUGUUGACUUUACAUAUGUGUUCUCGCCAGUUGUAAAGCACAUUUUAAUUCGGGCUUUACUUGGAGUUGUGGCAAAGAAUGAUUUGGAGUUUGAACAGAUGGAUGUCAAAAUAGCAUUCCUGCAUGGAGAACAUCUACAUACAAUAGCCAAAAAGGUUCAUAGUCUUUGGAAAAGAAGAUUAUGUGUGAUUGUUGAAAAAGUCCUUGUAUAGACUGAAGUAGUCACUGAGGUAGUGGUAUAAGCGGUUCGAUUCAUUCAUAACUACUCAUGGUUUUGAAAGGUGUAAUUAUGAUAGUUGUGUGUACUUCAGGAAGGAAAGUAGUGGAUCAGGUACAUACUUGUUGUAUGUUGAUGAUAUGCUUAUAGCAACCAAAGACAAAGCAGAGGUCAGAAAAGUGAAGUCUCAGUUGAGUAAAGAGUUCGAGAUGAUGGACUUGGGAGCAACAAAGAAAAUCCUUUGAAUGGAAAUCUUGAAGGAUAGAAAGGCUGGCAGGUUGUACUGGAGUCAAAAAGGGUACAUUGAGAAGGUACAUCAGAGAUUCAUUAUGCUGAAUGUAAAGGCUAUCAGUACACCCUUGGCUACACAUUUUAGAUUAUCGGCAGACUUGUGUCCAUAAUUAGAUGAAGACAUUGAGUAUAACUAUAAGGUUCCUUAUUCUAGUGUAGUUGGUUCGUUAAUGUAUACUAUGGUUUGUACAAAACCUGAUUUGGCACAUGCAAUUAGUACAUUUAGCAGAUACAUGACAAAUCCUGAAAAGGAACAUUGGAAAGUAGUACAGUGUAUCAUCAUAUACUUUAAAGGCUCUACAAAUGCCUGUCUGCAUUUUGGAAGAAAUUCAGAAGGAAUCAUAGGAUAUGUGGAUUUAGACUAUGCAAGGAUCUUGACAAAAGGAGAUCACUCACAGGGUAUGUGUUUACCCUUGAAGGCUGUGCUAUCAGCUAGAAAGCUACUUUGCAAAAUGCAGUAGUUUUGUCUGCAAAAGAGGCAAAGUACAUGGCCAUUAUUGAAGUGUGUAAGGAGACUACGUGGCUGAGAGGAUUAAUUGGUAAAAUCAAUGAAGACUUGCAGAUAUCUGCAGUGUAUUGUAAUAGCCAGAGUGCUAUAUUUCUAACUAAGGAUCAAAUGUUCUAUGAGAGGACUAAGCACAUUGAUAUGAGUACCAUUUUGUACGUGAAGUAAUUGCUCGUGGUGACAUUAUAGUGAGCAAGGUUGAUACCAAGGAGAAUCCUACUGACAUGAUGACAAAACCACUUCCCAUUGCUAAGUUUGAGCAUUGCUUGAACUUAGUAGAAGGUAUUUGUCAUUGAUUUAGCCCAUUGGGGCUUGGAAGAGGUGGAGUGGUGUUUACUUGGAGAUGUGUAUUUUGGAAUUCCUUACGUUGGAAUUUGGCUCAAGGUGGAGAUUUGUUGUAGUGUGACCUAAAUUCUUGGGGUUUUAGGAGUAGAAAUUGGGUUGAUCUUGGAGAAAUCAACUUAUAGAUUGGAACAAAUUAUUACCGCAUUUUCGCUAGCUGGAUGCUCGAGUGCUUGAAGCAGAACAACCUCACCCUCUUCUUGUCGGAUUGUCGCUUGAAUGACAUCAAUGUCGCUCGUUGCUGCUCAAGCGACAAUAUUAUCUAGAUAGUUUCGAAUUUUUCAUGAUUUAACUCGUUUUGGACUCCUAUUCAUCUUCAACUAGGUUUUUUGGGCGUCUCUAUAUAUACAAACCGUCGUAUUGUAUUGAACAUAUAUGAAAAUCUUGAGAGAUUGAAAGGGAACAAAUCUACAACAUCUUGUGAGCUUAGAUUCAAUUGAGGGCAUUAAUUCUUGAGAGUUUAGAUUUACUUGAGAGUAUUGAGACUUGAUAUUGUAAAGACAUUUCUAUCGGUUAUAGUGAAUUUUCUCCUCCUCUACCCGUGGUUUUUCCCAAAAUGGGUUUUCUAUGUAAAUCUCGGUAUCACUUACUUUUCUGUUUUAUUUCGUUAUUUUCAUAUUUUGCCAUCAAGAUUCAUAACAGUUGUUAAUGUACGAGAGCUUAUGCCCAACAAGUGCUGCACUUUGCAUUGGAUCUGCGAAAUCUUUUUCUCUGUUCAUGAGGAUAAUUUUUUUGUUGAAUAAUCAGAAAAGAGAAAUUAAAUCCAAUACCCAUAACUAAAUAUUCUCAAGCAUAUAGUGUUAUGAAUUUGCAUGUGUAAAAGAAUAACCAUGCUCCGUACUCUAUAAUACAAUAGAUCAGAAAAUUUUUUCUCUGAGAUUUGAAAAAUGAGUGCGAGACUUCUUUACGUUAUUAAUUUAAUUGGUACCCUUGUUAGAAAAUUCGAGCUGAUUGUGCAAGUAGAAUCAAGCCUAGACUUCUAUUAGACAGGUAUUCAUAAAUCAACAUAAUUUCUUCUCUUUGAAUGCAAACUCCUAAAAGCUUCAUGAGAUUUCGAAGCUAAAGUUUAGCUGAUAACUUAAUUCUUGAACUCAUUUGGUCCUUGGAGGGAAUUUUUUGAUAGCUGUUAUUUCCUUACCCUCCUUGAGCAGUCCCUAAAAUGGCAUUUGUUUUGCUAAAUUUUACUAAAGCCAUCUUCCACUCACUUUUGACAUUUGACUUAGCAUGACAUUGAUUUCCUUGGAAUUUCCAUGGCUAAAGAAUCCCAUUCCAAAGCUUCCACCAGAUGAAACUGUGGUAUCAUCAUCUCUAAUGAUUUGUAUAGUAUUUAUAAUAUCUGUUGCUUAAAAGAUUUUCUGGAUGGACAUAAAAAAAUUUAUGACAAACAGUAAGGGAAAAAUUUUAUCUGAUAUUUUCAUGGUUCCAGCUCUUUGCUUGUUUCAAUUUUUUAUUUUUAUUUAUUUUUUAAUAGAACUGAUAGGUAGGUAAUAACAUUAGCUUGAAUGCAUAUUGCUUGAUCAUGGGUUCUAGUGUACACAAUUUCGUUUCUUGACUUUGGAAUCUGAAGUAGUAUUUACUAUUUAAGGUCAAGACUUACGUUUAUAAUUGAAAGAAUUGAAGAUUUUCUCGAAAACUCCAACUCUAGGCUGUCAAGGUCGGUCCACAGUAUGAAGAAACAUGACCAGUAGAGGUCAUGCUUAUUAGAUUGCUGAAGCUCACUUUUUCAACUUUGCUCCAGAUUUUAUGUAAAAGUUGUUGGAAAUAAAUAAUUAUGGGAGGAAAGGCCAGAGAGAAAAUUAUGAAAUUUCUCAAAAGAUAUUUGUAUCCUAUGGCCUGGCUCUAUAAAAUGUCACAAGCACAAGGGCUUUUAUAGGUACAAAGAGUCCCAAAUACAUUGUAUACACUUAAGAGACUAAUUAACGACUUUUCCUACAUACUAUGGAUAAUAGGAUAUAAAGAACCAUGUGGAUACUGAAUAAAAUAAACAUAUGAAUAUCAAAUAAACUAAUUCAUGUAUCAAAUUUAAUUUCGAACAUUUAUGAAUCAAGAUUAAAUUCCAACACUGCUUCUUAAACUUGAUUCCCUCUUGGUGACUACAAUCCAAGCACGAAAUCUUGCAAAAUCAUCAUUCUUCAAGGGCUUGGUGAAAAUAUUUGCUACUUGAUCAUUGGUCUUCACAUAAGCAAGCUCUAUUUCUUUGUUUUCAAUGCACUUUCUAAUGAAGUGAAAUCUUGUAUCUAUAUGCUUGCUUUGAUCAUGGAACAUGGGAUUUUUACCCAAAGCAAUAGCUGACUUGUUAGAAGCAUAAAUUGGUAUAGCUUCGUUUUGUGGUACAUGAAGUAUCUCCAACAACUUUCAUAGCCAAAUGGCAUUACAAACAUAUGAUGCAGUAGAAAUAUAUUCAGUUUCGCAAGUACAAAGAGCCAUAAUGGGUUGUUUCUUUGAACAUCAAGUGAAAGCGGUGUUACCCAUGAAAAACAAAAAUUUAGUGGUACUUUUUCGAUCAUUAAUAUCACUAGCCCAAUCACUACCACUAUAACAAUGAAGCUUGAAAUUUGUAGAAGAAUAAUAAACUAAGCCAUAAUCAAUGGUACCUUUAAUGCAACAAAGUAUCCUUUUAGCAAUCUCUAUGUGAGUUAAACUUGGUGCCUUUAUAUAACGGCUAAUAAGACCAACACCAUAAAGAAUAUUGGGUCUUGUAUAGGUCAAAUAUCUCGAGCUUCCAACAAGAUGUCUAUAGCGAGAAAGAUCCACUUUUGUGCUCUUGUCAUAUUUUGACAUUAUUGUUCCACACCCAAUGGGAGUACUCACUGGAUUGAAAUUUUGCAUUUUGAACAUUUCAAGAACUUUCUUUGCAUAAGCUUCUUGAAAAAUAAAAAUGCCAUUUUCAUUUUGUUUUACCUAAAUUCCAAGGUAGUAGCAUAUGAGCCCAAUGUCAGUCAUCCCAAAUUCUUGAGCCAUCAUUUUCUUAAAUUCUUCAAACAUUUUUUUAUUGUUGUCGGUGAUGAUCAAGUCAUCAACGUACAAGCACGCAAUCAUAAAAGCUCUAUAUGCAUCCUUUUUUUUACGUAAAGAGCAUAUUCAUGUAGACAUUUGAUGAAUCCAUGCUCUUCAAAAUACUUGUCAAUCCGGCUAUGCUUUGCUUUAGGCACUUGCUUCAAGCCAUAUAGCACCUUCUUCAACUUCAAGACUUUCAUCUUCAUGUUUCUUAACAUAACCCAAUAGUUGUUGAACGUAAACUUCUUCUUCAAGGCAUGCAUUCAAGAAAGCAGACUUGACAUCCAUUUGAUAAAUUUUCCAUUUAUUUUGAGUUGCCAAGGAAAUGAUUAAUCGAAUGGUUUCCAAGCGAGCAACAGGGACAAAUACCUCAUCAUAGUCAAUGGCAUACUUUUGACUAUAGCCUUUGAAUACAAGUCUUGCCCUGUAUUUCUCCACUUUUCCUUGAGCUUUUAUCUUGAAUUUGUACAUCCAUUUCACGUGAAUUGUUUUUUGCCCUUUAGGAAGAGACACUAGCUCCCAUGUAUUUUUCUUUUUUAUUGCUCGAAUCUCCUCAUCCAUUGCAUGCCUGCAUUUCUUGUCUUCUGUUGCCUUUUCAAGUUCAAUGGCUCGGUGUCAAUGAAGAGAUAAAACAAAGAUGGAUUGUCAACCAUUUCAAUUUCGUCAUAAAUCUCUACAAAAUUUCUAAUACUACUCAGUCCUUCGAAGGGACUAUCAUGAGGAGAUUGAGGAGCAGGAUAAUGUGGUUGAGUAGCGUCUUGACUUGUUUCUUGGCUAGAGUCUCUUUCUUGAAAAGAAAAAAAUCACGUAUUCUUCAUUUUUUGGAACACUCCAAUCCUAUGAGCUCCUUCGUCGAAUUCCGCUUCUCUACGAAUAACAAUCUUCCCAUUGAAAGGAUUCUAAAACUUGUAGCCGUUGGAACUUGAAUCAUAACUGAUGAAAACAAACUUCUCUUUUCUCAUCAAGUUUUAAUCUCUUCUCAUUUGGUACAUGAAUAUAGGCAAUACUACCAAAAAUGCGUAAGUGAGAAAUACUAGGUUUCUUACCGCUCAAAGCUUGUUGUGGAUUCAUGUCUUGAACACUCCUCGAUGGGGAAAGAUUAGAUAAAUACAUGGCACAUGCAGCAACUUCGACCUAAAACUUCUCCAUACUCUUGCUCUUAAGCAUACACGAACUGUGUUGAGGAUGAUUUUGUUCUUCCGAUCUACGACACCAUUUUGUUGUGGUGAUCUUGGAACUAUGAGAAAAUGUCAAAUUCCAUUGGUUUCACAAAAAUUAUUAAACUCCUUGGAAGUGAAUUCUCCACCUCGAUCAGUCCUUAAUUCAUUGAUGAAGUUGCCUUUCUCAUUUUCAACAAGAGCUUUGAAUUUUUUGAAUGCUCCAAAAACUUCAUCUUUCGUUUACAAAAAAAAAAAAAAAAAAAAAACCCUGGUAUUGCUAAAAAAUCAUCAAUAAAUAGCAAUAAAUAAUUUGCUUUAAGAUGAGAGGGUAUUUGAUUGGCCCGUACACAUCCACAUGAAUAAGUUGAAAUGACUUUGUUGCUCUUGAGGUAGAUUCCUUUGGAAAGCUUCUUCUAACUUGCUUGCUAAUGAGACAUUCUUCGUAAAGAUGAUUGGGAUGAUUGAUUUUUGGGAACCCAUUCACCAUUUCUUCAUUUGUCAAGGUCUUCAAGCCACAAAAAUUCAAAUGGCCAAAUCUUAAAUGCCAAAGCUAAGAACUGUUUUCAGCAUAAGCCUUUAGACACCUGGAUGGUCAACAUUAACAUUGAGAAAAAAAACAAUCUAUUCUUCUCCAUUGUUACUUUUGCAAUCAAAUUAUGAGAAAAAUCUCUCAAAGUAAGGCAAUGAUUCUUCAAGUGAGUGUCAUAGCCAAUCUUAAGUAAUUAUCCCAAACUUAAAAUAUUAAACUUCAAAGUAGGUACAUAAUAAACUUGAGAAAUUAAAAGAUGACUUUCAUUUUUAGCACGAAUAAGAACAUCACCUUUACUUUUUAUUGGAACAUUGGUUUCAUAUCCAAAAAUAAUGUUGCCUUUUACCACUCAUUUAUUGUUGAGAAUAACUCCUUAUUACCACUCAUGUGAUUGGCGGCACUGGUGUGAAGAUACCAUGAUCGAUUAUCCUUUUCUUCUUUGGUUGCCAACUACAACAAUAAUUCUUCAUCUUCCUUUGCUUCAACAUAAUUAACUCUCUCCAUUAUUGGUGGUGUCGCUCCUAUAUUCGAAAGAUAAUAACCAUAUUUAUGACAAGUGUAACAUUGAAUAUUGGACUUGUCAUACUUUCUUUUGCCACCUCUCUUGCAGCCAUAGUUCCAACGGCUUCGUCUACUCGAUUGAUUGUUUGAUCCUUCAUUAUUCAAAUUUUAAAUUCUUUCAUUACUACGACCAUAAUUUCCUCCACAACCACAAACUCGACCAUGAAUUUGGUCUCUUCCUUGAGAUCAUCCAUGUUCUUUCUUGUGAUCUCCCAAAAAGAUCUUCGCUUGGAGAACUUGAGCCAUCGAUUUUCCUUUUUUCUUCAAUCUUUCUUCAUAUGCUUGCUAGGACCCAACGAGUUGAUCAGGUCAUGGGAUCCAAGUCAUUGACUCUUCAAUGGCAAUAUUAACAAACUCAAGUUUUGAGUUAAAGGAUCUAAGAAUUUUCUUGAUGAUAUGACUUUCUUCAAUACUAUCCCUAUACCACAUCAUAUGAUUGACAAUGGAGAACACUCCAGUGAAAUAGUCAAAGAUAGAUUUUGACUCUUUCAAAGUCCUCAUGAGCGAUUUGAAGGCAAACCUUCUUCACUUUUUCAAUUCCCUUGAAAUUGUUCUCGAGAAUCUCUCAAGCUUCCUUAGCUUUUGUUGAGGAAGCAACUUUAUUGAACAUGACUUCAUCUGAGCCCAUGUGAAUAAUAGAGAAAGCAUGUUGAUCUAACUUGUGGUACCUUUACAAGGCAUUCCUUUGAGCUUGACUUAAAGCUCCUUCAUUGUCUAGUUCAUCAUAAUCUUUUCUGCAACUUCCCAUGCUUCCUGUGAUUUGAGCAACAUCAUCAUGUGUAUGCUCCAAUGUCAAUAAUUUUCCUUUGUAAGUUUGGGAACCACAAAAGAAAAUGAACUAUUCAUCUUUUGAAGUGGCUCUGAUACGACUUUGUUGGAAAUAAGUAAUUAUGCAAAGAAAGGCUAGAGAGAAAAUUUUGUAAUUUCUUAAAAGAUAUUUAUAUUCUAUUGCUUGGCUCUAUAAAAUGUCUCAAGCACAAGGCCUUUUAUAGGUACAAAGAUUCCCAAAUACAUUGUACAAACUUAAGGGACUAAUUAAUGACUUUUGCUACAUGCUAUUAAUAAUAGGAUACACAGAACCACGUGAAUACUAAAUACAAUAAAUAAAUGAAUAUUGAAUAAACUAAUUUAUGUAUCAAAUUUAAUUUUCAACAUUCAUGUAUCAAGUUUAAUUCCCAACAAAAGUAAAUGAUUAAGCUUUUUGAAUAAGUGAAAAAGAACGCUUUUGUGUAUCCAAUUUUAUAACUUUCAUUUUUAUAUAUCAGUUGUAAGUUACCACUUUUGAUUUAUGGGAAAUAUAGAACUUCUCUCCCUAUUUAGAAAAGGACUUUUUUCUCCCUGUUCUUCAUUUUUGCUGCUGUUCUUGCUCUGUUUUACUUGUGUGUUACAUUGCAGAAUUUUCUGUGUUUAAACAAUAAUUUCUACACUUGCUUAGAUGGUAGGACUACAAUUUGGAUAAAGCAAUGUGUACAAGGCUUUUUUCACAGAGUCCUUACCAACCCCUCACAUGGGGUCGGUCCCACGUGGGCCCCGAUUCAAUAAAAAAUGAAAAAAAAAUCUCGACCCCACCCCUUGUGAGGACCCUGUAAGGAUUCUAUAAUGUGCUGGGAUGUACGCUCAACACUGUCCCUACAAUUCAAUGAUAUGGAUAGGACAGUUUCAUGGACCACCAUUGACCUAGAGUGAAGGGAAAUAUAAAAAUGCUGACUGCCAUCCAUGAAGAGUUGAGGGCAAAUAUGUAAACGUUGACUAGUCCAUGAUAUCUAGACAAAUUCCCCUUCUCCUUUUCAAUCAAUAUUCUACUGGAUUAAUUAGCUAGGUUUUUCUAUCUAAACUAUUAUUAAAUAAUUAACUGCUUAGCUUAAUUCAAUAUAUGAAAAUGAAGGGUGACAAUGUGUUGUUAUCUUUGUAGUUUCACCCUAGCUUAAUUUCUACACUUAUUUUAAAAAUUUUAUAUAAGGUGAAACUAAUUCGAUCCCAUUUGAAAGCAAAAAGAAAUUUCUAUUACAUUGAAUUAGCAAGAAUCUGUUCUUACUUUUUCUUUCUUUAAAUUAUUCAACAAUAAUGUGAUUUGCAAACCAAGAAAUAAAAAAGAGGAACGGAAAAAAAUAAAUAAAUAAAAAUUUGAGGUUAUUUUUUGACACGACCCAUCCUGAGUAACCCUAGUGAACCCGAAACGUGACGUGCGCCGAUGAUAGAUGUUGACUAGAUGUCAAAUCUAUCACCAAUGCUAACUAUGAGUUAUUUAAAAAAAAUGCAAUAAAAUCAAAUGCUUAUAUAAAAUAUAAUGCGAUGGGCCCAAAAUAUUUACUUCGUGCUUCAUCAAAAUGAGUUAUUACACUCAACAUGUCGUGUGGCUCUUAUUCCGAAAUCAUUAGGCUCUUCUAGUUAAAUAGAAUCAAUUUCCACCUGCAGGAAAAAUUGUGGGAAAAUAUAUGAGUUGAUAACUCAGUGAGUGGAGCAGUUCGAAAAUAAUUAUACUUUUUCAUUUUCACAUUUCUAUCGAAAAUCGAGUUCAUAUCAUUUAAUAACUCACAAGAUAACAUCAUUUAAUUAUAACCAAAAGUGAAAUAUUCACAUAAGGUCAUAAAAUAUCAUCUCAAAAUCAUGAUUUAGACAUCAGCUGAUAACCAUGCUAUAAUCUCAUCACAUCAAACGUACUGAAAAAUUCACCAAAAAUGUACCCUCUGACUGAAAUAUAUAAUCCGUUUCUCGGGCUAAGAACUUUCGUUACAGGCCUUUGGCCCCCUCCGUUAAUGAAAGUCGGUCUCAAAGACCUCUCAUAAUCAAUUCUAGAACACGGCCAAGGCCCCUCUGUGAACUAUAUGUACAUGAUCAAGACCAAUUUCAGGUCAAGACCCUCCGUGUAGGAUAGAACACGGCCAAUGCCUCUCUGUGAACUAGAAGAAGUACAUAAUCACGGGUACUUUUUUUUGGUCGAUCUCAAUAUCACGUCCCACAUACCAAACAAAUCUCAAUAUCACAUGUCUCAUUUACCAAGUCACAAACGUACAAUAAAUAAUCCUUGAAAUUCCACAUGUAUCAUAAUAAAAUAUAUUUCCAUAAUAACCAUGUGAUUCGAACACAUAAUUGCAUAUAAUUGCACAUACUUUAACAAUAUACUUAAUUUAUAAAUACUUUAAAAAUAUUUAUAUUUUUCCACUCACAGUACAAUGUUCGCAAAAUCAACUCGGUUGGUAAGCUAUCCUGAUAUAAGUAUCGUCGCCUGAAAUACGAUAUAAUUUUUAAAUAAACAAUUAAUUAUUUUAAAUGAUUUCAAUAAUUAAAUAGGCGACACCCAAACUUAAUCAUUUCACGUUUAAGCGAUUUCUAAAGUCUCUUUAAUCACUAAAACUAGUUUUUCUUUCAUCUUACUCAAUUUCAUAGUUUAUUAUACUUAACCCCUUCAAUAAAAUUGAAUUUAAUCUAAUGAUCUAACAACUAUAAAAACAAACAUAAGUUGACAAUAAGUAGCUUUUUACUUACCUUUCAAAAUUGAGGAAUUCAAUUCUAAUAAUGUAGACCACUUAUUUUCCAACAGCAUAUGUGAACUUUCCUUUUUUUUCUUCCUCUUCUCCUUUUUUUUUUCCUCUUCUUUUCCCUCUCUUUUUCUCUUUCUUUUUGCCUCGGCUUCUCUUGUGUGUAUUAGUGUGUGUUUGUGUGUGUAAUUGGAUAGGUUUUCAACUUGGGUGGAUUGAUAUAAAUCAAUCCACCACCUCAUUAUUAUUAUUAUUUUUUUUUUUUAGUUCCAUUUUUUUUUUACUAAAUUAAGGUAUUACAAAACUCACCCCCUUAAAAGAAUUUCGUCCUCGAAAUUCAAUUAGCUAGAGGUCCAACACGUAAGGAUAUAGAACUCACAUUUAACUUUUGCUACCCAUAAUGCCUCUUUUAUUGAAUGAUUUCUUCAACAAACAUUUACUACCAAAAUUUAAUCUUUUCCAUCAUAGUUUUAAUAACUUCCUAAGAGCCAAUAUAUGGUAUUCUCGUUUUUUUUCCCAUAACAAUGGUUACGUACUAAAAUCGAAUAGUAUUCUUUCACCAAUUUCAUUACAAUAAAUAUGUCCUUAGAAUAUUUCAACAUCAUAUAUAACCUUAAUUAUCGUCAUUUGUGUCUAGUUCUUAUAGGUCAAUUCCAUGAAGAAUAGAUAAUCAUCAAAGUCCUCUUUAAUUAACAAACUAGUUGAUAACAUCUCUUUUAAACUUGUCUUCAUAAUAUCUGAUAUUCUAUCAAAAGAAAAUGCAUAGUGAAAUUUAAUUAUAUAACUUCUUACAGCUAACCAAAGAUAAAUACUCCAAUUCCACCAUGUAAUUAACAAUAUUGUCUAAAUAUAAUUUUGUAAGUCUAUUCUAUGAACUGACUAUAUCAUUUAAAAAGAAUCUUGUAACCUUUAUUAUUCUAUCCACAAGGAUUUAGAUACUAUUUUGUCUCCAUUCCGUGUAUUUGGAAUCCCAAAAAAAAAAAAAUAAACAAAAAAAUACUUUAAGGGUAACUACUUCCAUUCUAAAUUGACAAUAUCUCCAAAAAUUCAAUUGUUCAUGAUUUUCCAAAAUUCUAGUUAUCCCCAAUAAAACAACUAAGAUAGCUCAAUAUGAUGUUCUUUUCCUUUAAUUCUAUAUUACCCAAUGAUAAUAUAUACACAAUUUCCAUUUCCACCUUUUCGAAUAGAAUAUACCUUAAAGUCUGAUGAUUGAUAACUAUUGAUAUUUCUCACAAUGUGAUGACAAAAUCCUAAUAUAACCAACUCCAAAUCAUGUUUUAAUCAUGACUCUUCAGCAAUCUACAGUAUCAUCCAUAAUUUAUAAGUUUACUUCAAAAUACUUUCUAAACCUUAACAUAAAUCAUUAUCGUGAAUCAAUCACUUAUCAUCUUUAGAUAUAAGAGCAAAUAUUUCCUCAGAAUUUCCUAAUAGCAAAACUUUUGACAUUUCUAUAUCCAUACAAAUUUUGUUCUUUCUUCCUAUAAAGAGACAAUAAUAACAUUUAAUCCAUGAAAAUCUAUACUCUUAUUCCGUAAAUAGGUCGUUGAUCUAUCAUCAAUGCAUAAUCCUUCUUGUAUAUUGCAUAAAGACCUUUAAUUAAGAUAAUGUAACCUAAAGAUACUAUUUCACAAUGAGUAAAAUCUAUAUUUCAUGAUCAUCUUAAACUUUAGAAAUAUCUAAAUCCAACAUGUCCUACUUAUAUUCCUUAACAAAUAUAUUUUGAUGAAAAUAGAAUACUUUGUUCGUGAUUGAUACAAUUGAAAAUAGCCCAAAAAUUACAUCACUAAAAUUUCAAUAAAUUCAUCUUAACUUCAAAAUUUAACUCAACGCUUCCAAAUUGUAUGGAAUAUAACACAAUAAUCCAACGAAUGGCCUUAACAAAAUUAAUUAACUUAAUAACCCAAAUCUAUUAUCACAUUAUUUUACUAUAGGACAACCUUUAUAUUCAUUUACAUGCUAUUCGCUAUAUCACGUUAUGAUCAUGUAACAUUGGCAUUUGUCGUCAUAUUGUAUGACCUAAAAUAUUUAAUUAUGUCAACUUUCCUUAAUAUCACAAGAUAAUAACCUUCAUAUUUAUCACGUGAACAUUUCACACAUCAAUAUACCACAUGCUAAUUUUUCAAUCUAAAUAAAUUUCAACUCUACCAUUCUCUAAUUUUGUUUUUUUUCCACAUAAACAUACCUAAAUGCACAUAUCCAUUUAAUUCUUAUUUUUAAGGCAACAAAUCACCCCAUAAUAGGUAAUCAUUAUGAAGUUCAACCCUAUUUUUCUCACAUUCCUUGUAACCAAAUAACUCAUAAAUAAUCCAAAUAAUUGGAAUUACUGUCAAUUUUCUCGAUGCCUAAAGUACACAUUAACACAUUGUCAUCUAUCAAUUAACAAAUCAUCAUUUUAUUUUCCACAAUUUCUUAUCAUAUAGCAUAAAUAUACACCAUUAUGAUUUCUAUUAUCAUCCCAUAUAAGUGGCCACAAAUCACCACAAAAUUUUGAUAACACUAGAGACCAUUUGGCUUCAAAAAUAAUUAAAAUUCCACGCUAGUUGUAAAAUCUAUAACUUCGAAUGCCCCGCAAAAUCAUCAAAAUCUGUUCAAAUCUUAAUAGGUUAAAUACACCACAAUUUCAAUCCAACAACUAAUAACUCUUUCCACCAAUCGGAUCAUUGCAACUAUCAUAUUUACAUACUAUUCUUUUCUGUAUUUGUUAAAAAAUAUCUUUCUAUCAUCUUUUGUUCUAUGCAUUUGAGUUGGAGAGCUUGUGAUUUCUACCACCACGACAUGUGAACAUACCCACUGAACAUGCAUGAAUCAUAAAAAUUUUUUAAAACCAUGCUCUGAUACCACUUUGACACGGCCUGUCCCGAGUCACCCUAAUGAACUCGAAACGUGACGUGCGCCGAUGAUAGAUGUUGACUAGAUGCCAAAUCUAUCACCGAGGCUAACUAUGAGUUAUUUAAAAAAAAUUGCAACAAAAUCAAAUGCUUAUAUAAAAUAUAAAAUAUUUACUUCGUGCUUCAUCAAAAUGAGUUAUAACACUCAACAUAUCGUGUGGCUCUCAUUCCAAAAUCAUUAGGCUCUUCCAGUUAAAAAGAAUCAAUUUUUACUUGUAGGAAAAAUUGUGGGAAAAUAUAUGAGUUGAUAACUCAGUGAGUGGAGCAGUUCGAAAAUAAUUACUCUUUUUCAUUUUCCCAUUUCUAUCGAAAAUGAGUUCUUAUCAUUUAAUAAUUCACAUGAUAACAUCAUGUAAUUAUAACCAAAAGUGAAAUAUUCACAUAAAGUCAUAAAAUAUCAUCUCAAAAUCAUGAUAUAGACAUCAGUUGAUAACCAUGCUAUAAUCUCAUCACAUCAAACGUACUGAAAAAUCCACCAAAAAUGUACCCUCUGACUGAAAUAUAUAAUCAGCCCCUCGGGCUAAGAAUUUUCGCCACGGGCGUUUGGCCCCCUCCUUUAACGAAAACUGGUCUUAAGGACCUCUCAUAAUCAAUUCUAGAACACGGCCAAGGCCUUUCUGUGAACUAUAUGUACAUGAUCAAGAUCAAUUUCAGGUCAAGACCCUCUGUGUAGGAUAGAACACGACCAAUGCCCCUUUGUGAAUUAGAAGAAGUACAUAAUCACGGGUACUUUUUUGGUCGAUCUCAAUAUCACGUCCCAAAUACCAAACAAAUCUCAAUAUCACAUGUCUCAUAUACCAAGUCACAAACGUACAAUAAAUAAUCUUUGAAAUUCCACAUGUAUCAUAAUAAAAGAUAUUUCCAUAAUAACCAUGUUAUUCGAACACAUAAUUGCAUAUAAUUGCACAUACUUUAACAAUAUACUUAAUUUAUAAAUACUUUAAAAAUAUUUAUAUUUUUCCACUCACAGUACAAUGUUUGCAAAAUUAAUCCGGUUGGUAAGCUAUUCUGAUAUAAGUAUCGUCGCCUGAAAUACGAUAUAAUUUUUAAAUAAACAAUUAAUUAUUUUAAAUAAUUUCAAUAAUUAAAUAGGCGACACCCAUACUUAAUUAUUUCAUGUUUAAGUGAUUUCUAAAGUCUUUUUAAUCACUAAAACUAGUUUUUCUUUCAUCUUACUCAAUUUCAUAGUUUAUUAUACUUAACCCCUUCAAUAAAAUUGAAUUUAAUCUAAUAAUCUAACAACUAUAAAAUCAAACAUAACUUGACAAUAAGUAACUUUUUACUUACCUUUCAAAAUUGAGGAAUUCAAGUCUAAUAAUGUAGACCAUUUAUUUUCCAACAGCAUAUGUGAACUUUCCUAUGUUUUUCUUCCUCUUCUCCUCUUUUUCCUUUCUUUUUCCUUUCUUUUCCCUCUCUUUUUCUCUUUCUUUCUGCCUCGGCUUCUCUUGUGUGUAUUAGUGUGUGUUUGUGUGUGUAAUUGGAUAGGUUUUCAACUUGGGUGGAAUCCACCGCCUCAUUAUUAUUAUUAUUAUUAUUAUUUUUUUGUUUUUAGUUCCAUUUUUUUUUCUUUUCCUUUUUUUUUUAUAACUAAAUUAAGGUAUUACAUUUUUACACCAGCAAUUGCAAUUUCGGAGGUAAUACAUGUUACAAGCAUUUGGGUAUUACUCACCUCCAAAACGGGCAUUUAAAACCACACUUUCUAUAGUAAUCAAUGACAGCUGACUUUUGAACUUUCAAUGAUGGUUAAGUAGUAGCCGUGGAAUAAAAAACAUCAAGGAUAGUAGGUUAGCCAUUGAAAAGUGUUUUAUAAAUAUAGUAAAAUUGAAAAAAAAAACAAAAAUUCCACACCGUCAAAGAAAUACCCUCAUGGUUUAUAUUUAUAUUCACGAUAACUAGUAGGUUAGCCAUUGUAUUAAAAGCUUUUAAUAGCAUAGCUGAGAAACCCGUAUCAACAUGUCCACAUGGAAAGAAGACUCAAAUCACAAUAACUCCACUGUCUGCUAAGAGUAUCAGUAAGUAGAUUAUAUUACUAAGAUUUCAAUGCAGAACCUUAUGGCUUUUAAUGAGAGUUAUUGACAUUACCUAGUAACCCGAUAAGCUUAGUCAGGCACUAAGAAAUAUGCUUUAUCUAAGCAUCUGAACGCUCAAAAUAUUUUGGAGGAUAACACCCUGCAACCUCAUAAGGCAUGCUAUAAACUCCAUAUUGAACCUGAGUAGCAGCAUAACAUUAAUGGGAAUAUAAUUCAUCAAGUAGAUGUAAUUAUUCUAAAACCAUAUUCUUUCCUCAAGACAAAAUUAUGUACUAUCCAAAUAUAAAGCUCCUUUCGUGAAAAAGUUAAUUAAAAUUUAAGUUAAAAUUUAAGUCAAAGUUAACAAAUAAUUUUAAUCAUAUAUUUAAUAGAUUCCAACUUUCCAUCAAUUUUUAUUAAAAUUUAUUAAAAAUUUAAUUUUUAUCCAAACUAAUCAGGUCAAAAUAUAAAUAUUUGCCUUUCUUCAAAGAUAGAAAAUUAUGCAAUACAACUACCACGGGCAUCAAAGAUGAUGUGAUUGUGAUGAAACUCAAAAAAUAGUCCUUACAUAUUACUUCUUUGAAAAAUAAUCAAUAGAAAUUGCAUAAGAACGGAUAAAAAUUACUCAAUUCAACUAAAGCCACAACUAUAAUGACAAAAAUUAUUUUUUAUUGUGUUUUUUAGCCUAACACCUUAUAUACCAAGAAAAUGAAAAUUAGACAGUUAGUGAUAUUUCUUUAAUGUAGAAAAAUAAAUAAAAAAAACUUGCAAAAAGAUAAGAAGAUUGCUUUUUAAAGCGUUUGAGUGGCUUUUGAGCAAGAUAUAAAUUUGUCCGAGGAAGAAUUCAGCAUCACUCGACUCAUAGCGAUGAUUUUAUAUAAUGUGAUUUUUAAGAAUUAAGCUAGGGUGUAACUACAAAGCAUAUAUUGAUUAAAUUUUCAUAUUUUAAGAAUUUAUGGUUGUAGAAAUUAGUUUCACAACGUGAUUGAAUUUUCAUAUAUGAAAAGCUAGGGUGACAGCUUAAUUCAUCGUAGACAAAAGGAAAUUUUUUUUAUUUCUUGGUUUGCAAAUCACAUUUUACUGAUUUUAUUUGUUAUCUUUCACAUUAUUGUUGCAUUCUUCUUUCAAACAACUUACUUUUUAAAAGCAAUUUGUGAAAGGAAGGGCCUGCAGGCGCAUGUCUAAACUGAUAGAAUACGAUUUUUAUGAGCAAUAUGGAACUGUCCUAUCCAUAUCAUUGAACUGUAAUCGAAUACGAGGUCUUUUGAUUCCUCACGGUGUGCCUCCGUUUGAAACAGGCAGCAACGCUAAUCUUAGGAGCAAUGAUUGGUAUAUGAGUUGUGUACAUUGAUCCAACCACAUUGCUUAUCCCAGAAAUGGAUUCGAAUUCAUUCUUAAUCCUAUUCACUGUUUCAUCGUCCGGCCACCUUAAAUAUUUUGGCAUCAAAACAUUUCUAAUAGCAGAACAAACCUCAAGAACGAUCUUGUGACACAUCGAAAUUCCCAACCCGAAUUUCUUCAAAACAAGCCUACGCGGUUCCCCGGUCGCCAACCGCCAUAUACAGACGGCAAUGCGUUGCCUUACAGGGACAGUAUCUCUCAACAUAGUAUUUUCCUUGGAAACAUUCGGAACUCAAUCUUCCAUAAGGUGACUAUAUCGAGAUCAAAUUUUCUCAUUGAUUGAUAAAAAAUCCCAUGUCAAUUGGUCUUAUUUCUCCUGCUCUAUCAAGUUGGUAGUUCUCUAGAACUACUUUAAUGGCCACGUGAAUAAUACAGAGAGAUUUAUUUUAGGAAAAUAUCGUUCUCUGUCUUGCAUGAAAUAUUUAAGUUGGUUGUGGUCAUUCUACUAAUAUUCAUCCUAUUGUCAAAGUUCAUCAACGUGUGUCCAUAUUCUAUUAUUUAAAGCCUCAUUUGAUAUAAUUACCAUAUGUAUCAGCUGCACAGCGUUGUGGUUGUAGAACAAACCAACUCGACACUACUCUUAAUUGUAGCCGAUUUAGUCCAAGUGACAUCAGACAGAUGGUCAACUUCGUGAUUCAUAGUGCGGGAAUUAAUUCUCGUAUUCAUCAUAUAUUCUUGAAUACGAUCUUUCAUUGAAUUUGUAGAGAUACUAUUUUCCAUUUCUCACUUGUUUGGUAGCCUUGAUUUCACAAUUUCCACCUAAAGAUAUUGUCUUACUAGAUCAAGAGAGUACUUCGUGCAUUAGUUCCUCUAAUGCACAUAUGAAUUGGCAGCUAACUUUUAAAUUCUUGUACCUGAAGCGAUCCAUUAGUCUAUUUUUAAUUUCCAGAUCAUACAAGAUUCCGUGAUUGCAUUACAUUAUGGUUUAUGAUAGUCCUUUUGAUCUCCAUCCACUUUACCAUUUAAUCUGUAGUUAGGCAAGGAAUUAAUCUCUAUUUCAAUUUUCACUAUUUAAUCCUUGAAAACAAUUUUCGUCAACUUGAAAUUUGAUAAUGAAGCGUUUGUCAUAAGAAUUCCCAUAAAAACCAAAUGUUUUAAGGGCCACACAUACAUUUUCCAAUGGAGGCUUUGAACGUGAAAAUUUACCAACGAAUGCAAAUUUGUAAGACACGGAAGACUCAAAAAUAUCAUCAUUAAGGAAACUUGGAAAAAAAGGGUCUCCCUUUAAUGGAAUUGGUGAAACAAUGGAAUCCACAGAAGAGGAUGAAGAUGUGUACAUGAAGAUACAGAUGAAAGAUUUGUUACAUGUCUUCGGAGGUGAGCCAGCGGGUGGUUUUGGGGUGAAAGUGGUGGAUGAGGGGUUUGUUGAUACCGAUUGACCAAUAAUGCAGGAGUUGAUAUUUAAUGAUUACAACUUGUUGUAAUUGAAGUAAUUGAACAAGAUCACGAAUAACCAAGAACAAGAUUAAAGUAAAGAAAUAAAAAAACUGACCGAGGAACGAUGUUAUUUUAUUCAAUCUAUGAAAUGAGAGAAUUACAACAAUAAUGGCUUAAACAAUAUUGAAAGAGGAGCCCUGUAUUUAUAGUAUAAAAUCUAGCCCUAAAAGAGUCCCAAAAAGGUAAGAAAUCUAAUGCAAUUUAGACUCCUAUUGGAGUCACACUUCUAACAAUCUCCACCUUGACUCAAAUUCCAGUGCAACGAACGAAGCUCCAAAAUUUCCCCACCUUGAGAAAUAAUCCGUCUGCAUCAGAAUGAACUGACCAAUCUUCUCAACGUAAUAACCAAACUCUCCACGAUAACACGUUCCCCCGCCCGGCGUCCACAAGCGACACCCAAACCCAAACCCGGGUUCCCAAAAUUCCUCUUGGAAUUAACAAUCACUGGACAAGGUCGAAGCACACUCUAUAGCAGAAACCACACCAAUGCACAAUCAGAAGGUCCCUUACCAAUAUUGUUAUCUUCAAUGAUUUCUAAAGUAUUACAGACAUCUCCAAAACUGUACCUAUGCUCCAUGAGUCAAUUGGCAUUACAAGAACACAGUGUACUCGCUAAAAUUGGUGGCAAAGUGGAUUCACCAACACUCCCUUGAGCAAAGUUCUUAAUUGACCCCGAGCCAAACUCGAGAGGUACUGUACCAAAUUGAAUGUCCACCACGGUACUGAACUUAUCCAAAUGUCUCUGAACUAGUUCUGCGCUCCCCUGCAAGAUGUACAACUGGGAUUUCCUCAGUCUUUCCAGUACAACUCGGACACCCCUUCGAACCUUCAAGACUCCACCUCCACCAGAAAAUUUGUACCAUUUUUCAUCCAAGGUACUCAGUGAUAUGAGAUUCUUUGUCAAGUCUGGAACAUGGCGAACCUGAUCAAGUGUCCUCACUGUUCCAUCUAGUAGCCUCAAUCUGACCCGAUCGAUUCCUACAACCCGGCAAGAUUGGUUGUUUCUCAUGACAACUCCACCUUACUUCACCGUCUCAUAUGUUUGAAAUAAAGCCCUAUUGGGACACAUAUGAUACGAACAAGCAGAAUCCAGAAUCCACUCCUCAGGUUUGGAUUCUCCGUCAGAUACAGCCAACAUCACAUCUCCAUCAUCACAAAAAUUUUCAGCAAUAUUACUCUCAUUCGAAUUACUUGAUUGCCCCGCAUGAUUUGCAUGUAAAUCACCUUUACCUUGCAACUUGUCAUAAUCUUUCUUGAUGUGUCAUUUCCUCUUGUAGUAAUAACAAUACACAUUGCUAUACUUCACCUUCGAUCUACCCCUCCAUCGAUCACCAUGAGUAACAAGAGCAUCCCCACUCCUAGAUGCAGGAUCUCCAACCAACAACUUCAUCUUCUCUUUUGAGAACUGGGCGUCAUAUACCUCCUCAAUGGAUAACGUGUCACGACUAUACAGAAUAGUAUCAUGAAAUGACGAAAAAAAUUGGGUAGCGAACACAACAGGACCAAGGCUAGAUCCUUUUCAUCAUAUUUUACCUCCAACGUCUCCAAAUCUGCAAUGAUCUCCUUGAACACAGCAAGGUGGUCCUGCAGUGACUCUCCUUCCGCAAUGCGAUGAGAAUACAACCUUUACUUUAGAGUCAGUUUGCUCGUCAAACUUUUUGUCAUGCAUAACUGCUCCAGUUUGAGCCACAAAGCAGUCGCUGUCUUCUCCUUCAAAACAUCUUGCAACAAAUUGUUGGAUAAAUGAAGUUGGAUUUGUGCUAAAGCCUUCCGAUCCUUUCGUUGUUUCUCCUCCAUAGACAAGUUUGCUGGCAUCCUAUCAAAACCCAGCAAAACAUCAUCAAGAUCUAUCUACGUCAACACAGCUCUCACCUUUACUUGCCACAACGAAAAUCUUGUAUUGCGAUCCAAUAGCGAAAUUUCAUUCUUCAACGAAUUCAUCUCUAAAAAAUCUCAAUCAAAUCACGAAGAACUUGCAACCUGCAACACCCAAAAUUGAAAAUUGCCAAACGUGCAAGGGGCAAAAUAGUCUAGAUUCACAAUUUUACCCAAAACUGAAAUUGGAUACCACCAAAAGGUUCGUGUCGUCGUUCGGAGAAAACUGCCUGAAGACACUGUCGUCAGAAAAUGCCACACGUGCCACCACUCGCUCGCCGGAGUUACCACCGUCGGCGACUGGCCGGAAAACGCGCAGACGACCUUUAACCCUUUCUAGACCGUUUCUGCUUGCUGAGUCACUGAUGGUGUUCGUUUCUCCAAACUUUUUUUGGUUUGACCAGAAAGCACAAAAAUAGAUCCGGCAGAAGUCGAAAAAUUGGACAGAUUCGUUUUCUAAUUUUCUUGUAAUUUUCAGACGAUUUUCCGAUCAGUUUUAGGCCAAAAAUCCACCAAUAACCCUGCUCUGAUACCACUUGUUGAGACUGAUUGACCAAUAAUGCAGAAAUUGAGAUUUAAUGAUUACAACUUGUUGUAAUUGAAGUAAUUGAACAAGAUCACGAAUAACCAAGAACAAGAUUAAAGUAAAGAAAUAAAAGAACUGACAGAGGAACGAUGUUAUUUUAUUCAAUCUAUGAAAGGAGUGAAUUACAACAAUAAUGGCUUAAAAAAUACCGAAAGAGGAGCCCUGUAUGUAUUGUAUAAAAUCUAGUCCUAAAAGAGUCCCAAAAAGGUAAGAAAUUUAAUGCAAUUUAGACUCCUAUUUGAGUCACACUUCUAACAGGGUUAUUAUGGGAUAGAAGAAUAGAAGAUAGUUUUUAAGAAAGAAAUUAUUUGGGUUCAGUUUACUAUUUUUGAAAGUUUAGGGACCAAAAGCAUUUAAGAAAAGUUGCACGUUUUAUGGGUUUUAAAUGGAGGUAUUGUUUUGAGGAUUGUGCUUUAAGUUUAUUAGUCGAUACUUGAGGUUUAAAGAUUUAUUGCAAAUUUUUGCUAGUUUAGCACCAAUUAGCUAUUUGCAAUUUUCUCAAGACUAAAGUACAAUUUCAGCCAAAUAUUUUUUUUUGCAAUCACGAAUGGAUAAUUUGGGAACUGUUAUGUUUAUUGCGUGAGAAAUUAAAUUUAUUUUUUGAGUGAUUAUGAUUCGAAAAGGGCCUAAUUGUUGUCAAAUGUAAGCAUACUGAAUCACUAGAACUCAUUCCAAAUCCAUGAACCCGGUCGAGCACCUUACAUGAAAAAUUGAGGCAUGAAAGACUGUUGUAGAGAUGCACAAAACAAAUUUUCAUAGUUACACUAAAAUAAAGUGCUUAUUUAUAUAGAGCAUAUAAUUUGUUAAAAUCGGACAAGGAUUUUGAAGAUUUCAAAUGAGAUGGUAAAGAUAUUUCGAAGUUUAAAUGAAAAUCCUUCAUCUACCCUAUCUACCCUCUCACUCGCUGCUUACUCUAAAACUUGGUCGUCUCACUUAUACACACGUGUCUAUCAGGACUAGAAGGAGAAAUAAAAGAUAGAGAAAGAAGAAAAUGCAAACCUCUUCAAGUCAACAAUUUUUAUUUGGUAUUUACCGUAGAAGUUAAACCUUCUAUACCAAGAACUAAGUUAAGAGAAUUUAUAUCAAGGCAAGGCAUAUGCAUCACUUGUAACUGUUUAAGGCCCACAUAUUCCAUAUUUAAAUUUAAAAUUUAAAUUAAUUACAUGAUGGAUUAAUUAAUUUCCUAGAAUAACUUCCGAUAUGGUUUUGGGUGAAAGUUAUUGCCCGGGAAAAACCAUCUACUUCUAUGAUGGGGGAAGGGUGAAGUUCCAAACCCAUACAAAAUCACUACAUAAGUUUCUCUCUCCCUUAAAAAGAAAAAAAAAAAAAUUAUAUAUAUAUAUAUAUACAUCUCAUUUGCUUGUUCCAUCAAGUAAAGGGUAAUCAACUGGGCGUUGACUCUGAUACCUCAUGGAAGAAAUUAAUUGCUUACCUUUAGCGAUGUUUUCCAAAUGUAACUAAAAUCUACAAAAGAAAAUCACGCCUCCAACAAGCCUAUUCCAACUUUAUGCCAUUUUCACUUGAUGGAAUAAGGCAUAGGUCUUCUUCUUCUUUAUUUAUUUUUUAUUUUUUUAUUUUUUUAAUCAGGUAAAUAAAAAUAUGCUGUAAUUUAUUUGUGCAGGCUAGGCUAGGGACCCUUUGUUCCUUUAUGUAGACACGUCUACAUGACUUGUGUCCAUCAUAGAAAUUGGUGUUCUUCUCCUGCAAUAACUUCCAUCCAAUGAACAUAUGGAAAGUUAUACUAUGUAGUUAAUUAAUCCACCAUUUAAUUAAUUUGGACUUUAAAUUUAAAUAUUAAACACAUGGACCAUAAACGGUUAUAUUCUCAAACUUGGUUCACAUAUUUAGCAACUAAGUUUAAAGUGGGUAACUAAUAUGACCAUAUACUUAACUGUCAAUAACCUACUCAAAUAGAAAUUUACUAUAGUUAAAUCAUGGCUUUCCACAGUUUUAACAUGCAACUAUUUUCUUUCAUAUAUUACAGGUAUAAUCACUUUUAAAAUCGUACUUCAUUGUAUGUAUGAACUUCAUACAAGUCAUUCAGGGACCAAAUUUAAUAACCAUAAUAAAUAUCAAUUACAAACUUUAAAUGCACUAAUUCAUUAUUUCAGAAAACAACAAUCUAAAAAGUAAGAGUCAUAAAUCUUAAAGGAACAUUGACAUGACCCGUCCCGAAUCACCCUAAUGGACCCGACACGUGUCGUGCGUCGAUGAGGGAUACCAGCUAAAUGCUGGACCCACCACCAAGGCAACUAUGAUUUGCUUUGAUUGUGACAUAAUUUUAUAAAAAUUUGACAAAAUUUCCUCUAAAAUAUGGACUAAAAUUACCUGAAAAUUUAUCAACUUUCUCAACCCAAUACAUAUAAUUUAAAAUCGGGUACAUGAGCCCUUUCAAACACAAUUAUUCAAAAUAAAGUGCAUUGGAAUGAAAUUUAAACUUCUUUAUAAACUAGAGGACUCCAAAUGCAUAAGUUAUACAAAAUUAUGUAAUGAGCCCAUGAUGUAAACGGACAAAAGAUGCAUCUAUCACAAAAAUUAUGAAUUAUAAAAAUUGAUAAAAAGAAACAUACAAUUAACAACUGAAUGGCUCAAUUUGGUAAUUCAACAGGCUCCGAUACGGCUCAACACAGCUACUAUCUAAUAAGAAAAAGAAAGAUGAAAUAUAUGAGUUUGUAACUCAGUGAAUGAAUAAUUUUGUAAACAAAUAUACUUUUUUCGAUUUAUGCUAAUUUUCUAAAAACUGGUUUAUAAUAAAAUAUCAUUACACAGUACUUUAAGCUAAAUUUUUAUUCUCUAAACUGAAUAAAAUAAAUUCUGUAUUCUGAAAUCUGAUAAGCUGUAUAAUACUGAAAAAAUCACAUCAAAAAGAUACCCGGAAUAACUAUACUCAUGUAUCAGUUAGCACCGAUAGACAUGGCAAAGCUACUCAAUUCUGUAAGUCUGAAAUUCCGUAAUUCUGGUCAUAUACGCGCAGAGCUAUCUAGUCAUAUACUAUGGAAACACAUUCACAAUAGUGCUGAGCAAGUAAAAUCACCAUAACUGGUCAUACACUGUAAAAACACAUUCACACCAGUGCAGACUAAGGUAAAAUCACCUGGGUACUUUCUGGUGAUUUUAAAAUAAUUUUAAUUAUACAGAAAUAUUUAAUACUCAUAUAACAUGCUAAUCAAAUAAUUUAAAUGAACUGAACUAUAUUUAUCUUUUAAAAAAAAUAAUUGUUUAUAAAUCAAUCUCAUUCUGGAAAUCAUGCUAUCAAAUCUACUGUAUGAAAUAAUAAAUUUUUUGAUUUAAUAUAAAUUUAUUAAAUACUAAUUUCUGAAAAUAAGUUUAUAUCCACUCACUCAAUACGAGCUACAGACUAAGUCGAUCGGUAAGCUUUUUCAAUUUCUUCAUCACCACCUGAAAUAUAUUAUAAAAUAACUAAUUUAGCCACUAUUAAAAUCAAGAAAUCUUUAUAUCUAAUGAUAGAACUUAAAUUAAAUUUCUUGAUACUUGAAUAAAUUCCCAAACUUUCCUUUAUUAAUUGGAGCUAAUUACACUUUAUGAUCCCUUGCUUUCAUUCCAAGCAUUAAUGUAACUACCAUUUCAUUCUAAUGACAACUUGUCACAAUACUUUGACCAAUUAAAUUUUCCUCUUGUUUCACAAUUUCAUACUUCCAAAUAAUUAUUUCCUCAUUUUCAUCAUUUCCAUAAACACUAUUUAAUACAAAAAUCCCAAAUGAAAUUUCUAGGGUUUGCUAAAAAUAAUAUUCCUUACCUAACUGAAAUUGGAAAUGAAGUAAUCCCCCAGCCUGAGCUCCAAUUCGCACAUAUCACACCUAAAUUUGAAAAUUUCUACUACAAGUUAAAACCCUAGAAUUUUAACAUAAUUCAUACUUUUAUCACUUGAAAACAAAUGGAAAAAUUAAACCCAAACUUGAAGGGAAUAACCUUACCUCGUUUCCUCUUCUUUCCUUUUCUUCCUUUCUUCCUUCUUUCUCUCUCUUUUCUUCCCCUUUUUCCUUAGUUUUCCCCCUCUUUCUUGGCCUUCCUGCUCUCUGCCCCUUUUUUCUAGUGUGUGAGUGUUUGUUUUUGGGAGAAAUUGAUGGUCAAAGGUUGAAUAAUAAUCCCACUUACUCAAAAAUUGCAAGGAAAGUCCCUCAACAUCAUUUUUAUAUCACAUUUAAUUCUAAACUUCCAAAAAUAUAUAAUUAAAUUCCCAACUUUAAAUUGUAUCCAAUUUAAUCCUCAUAUAUUGCCAAUUGCAAAAUAAACUCCCAAUAAAAUAUUUAAUUCCAUUUUAGUAAUUAAAUGACUUUGACCUUGACUAGUCAACAUUUGAAUUUUCGACUAUGAAAAUUGAGUUGUAACAAACAUUGUGUCUAGCAAUUAAAAAAACUUGCAGUGAUCACACCAUGAGUUAAUUUUUCUGGUCACCUGAGAUGGAUUUCGACAAGAUUACACAUUUUCAGCUGGCCUCACGAUGUGCCUCGGUAAAAAUCCCAUCAAUUACUAGUGGUGGCUUGAUGCCCAGUAGUCGGCCUCUUACUUUAUCUAAUUCAGGAACUAACUGAGCAAAGAAAUCAUAAACUCUCUCCUCCACCUGUUUCUUAUAUUUCUCAGCAUCUUUUAGGAGUACUAUUCUAAUCAAUUUAAAUGAACAUAUCAAUUUCUCGCCAUAGUUGCUUUAGAGCAUUGUAAUAUAGGGUGACGUCGAGGUCUCCUUUAGUAAAUCCAGUGUCUUAUUCUUCUCCAAAUCGGAGAAGGCAACUGUAAGAGUAUCCAAUUUAUUUUAUUUUAUUUUGUGCAAUAGAGUAAUAUAAAUAAGACCCUUCAGUAUCCUCUUCCAUUGAAUUUAACAGUCGAAGCCAUCACCUUUGAAUUCUACGCAUCCCAGGUUACAUAAGCUGGGUCACUUUCAGCCGGUGUUAAUGAGGUUCCAGUUACAUAACCAAGGUAUCCACGUCCACGGACAACCAUAGGAGCAGAUCGAGACCAUUGGAGAAAUUUUUUACUAUUCAACUGAGUGGUGGUAAUUUGGAGAGAAGAUUUUUCAGAGAGAGUGACAGUGGGAAGAUGGUGAGGAGGUGAAAUGGGUGUACUUGUAGAGAUGGGUUUACAGGUCCAGUGGAGACCCAUGAAUCCUCAUCUCUGCAUGCACCAGUCAUGGCUGUUUUGACCAUUCUGUCCGCUCAAACAACCCUUGGCUCUGAUACCAUAAAACCAGGAAGGAAAGACAAAAUGAACACUAAAAAAAAGUCAUAAAUCAAUCUUAUUGUUGACCUCAGCCAAGUACAAUUAUUUAUAGGACUAGGAUACACAAUUGUGAUCCUUUAAUAUUCUAGAGAUAUCUACCAAAUUUAGAUAACCAUACUUCAAAAUCUAAAUAGACUCAAAUCCAAUAAACAAGGAAACAAACUAUAUCCUAACAAUAAGGAAACUAUAAAAUAAGGGGACAUAUAAACAACUAAAUCUGCUUCUAAUUUCUGGGAUCUUCAACAACAACAAAUUUGGUUUUAUUAGUUUUGCUUUUCUGUGUGUAUCACUUGUAGUGAGUGCAAAUAUCGUCUCAAGGAAAGCAUCAACACGUAGCUUGGAAUCUACUGCAUGUUAUAGUUCGAGUUCGGUUUGAGUUCCUAUUAUUGUUCCUUUAACUUAAUUACUUUGUUUCCCUGCCAUUACAAUAAUUGCACCAACAUAGCAUUUGUGGACCUCUAGACAUUUGCAACGUGAAGGCAGCACCAAAUUACAAAUGUACUACUUCUUUCACCCCCUCAAAUCACCUCAACAAUGGAAAGUAUUUGAUACUUAUGGUGGCUUCAUCCAUAAAUCACUUCAAAUUACCAAAAAAGUGACUAAGUUCUGAAGUAUAGUGCCUUCAAAAUUUCAAGAAAAAAAGAGAGGUAGAUGUUCUGAGUUCACGGUUUUUUCAUGAUGAAUAUCAGAUUUUUUUAAUUUUAUUUAUUUAUUUAUUUAUUAUUAUUAUUUUUUAAAUCCUUUUUCUGGAUGAGUAUUUAACAGUUUAGUUUUCAUUGUUUAGUAAACCCAUAUGCGAAUGGAGGUGACAACCGUAUUGGCCUGGUUUUGAGUGCUCCCUUGGCCCUUAACAGGGUUCCACUUCUUUUGAAUCUAGGCAGGGUUCCACUUCUUUUGAAUCUAGGCCUGCACGGACUUUAGGCGCCCCCCUUCUUGCCAGCCCACGGACUGCCCGCGCCAAUUUGGACCUGUGACCCAGCCCAUUUUAACACUAUAUGCAAAAAAUGUAAUCUUUGUCAUUGUCUUAAAGUUGACUUGAACCUGGCCAUGAUUGACAGUGAAUCAUAUUCCUCCGAGUAGUGGAACUAACACAGAAGAGUCAAGAGUAAAUAACAGAAGAGAUACAAAAGAUAUAAUUCAGUAUACUGGCUGAAGAUGACAAAUUUUUUAGCUGGAAAAUUGUACAAGCAAAAUUUGGACAACUAGUGAAACCUAUAUAUUUAUCGUGCAUCUAGAUGGGUAAUGGUCAUUUCGUUUAUUGAAAUUGCAACAUUUGUGCUGGUUGAACUUUCAGCAGUAAGCAAAUCUCUUUCCGUGAAAAAUCCAGGUUUUUUAGCAUGAGGCAAUACACCUUCAUUCCCCAACAUUAGCACUACUGAAGUCAUGUUUGGCAUUUCUUCUGGACAUUAUUGAAUGCAUAACAAUCCCACAUGAAUUAAUCUCAAAACCUCUGAUAAAUUGCCCGAGACACCAAGGCAUGCUUGGACUAGUUCCAAAGACCGACCUUCUUUAUAAAGCCUCCAUGCCUGUACUACUUGAAAUCAUCUUAGAGGACCAUUUUUGGAACCCAAAUAAAUGGAGUAAUUUCAUUACAAAUUAGAUAGAAAUAAGCACACUGCACUUACAUGUCCAAGAAGGUUGUUGUGGUGAUUACUGGGAGAAAAUCCUCUGUUUCUUUUGCCACUCACUAUCUCAAGCACUAGAGCACCAAAGCUAAAUACAUCUGAUUUUACUAAAAAAAGUCCAUCUGCUGUAUAUUCUGGUGACAUGUAACCGCUGCAUGAUAAAUUAACGAAGAAAUUCAAUUAUAACCAAUAGAAGAGAAUUUGGUUUGUCAUGGGAUUGAGAUUCUUACUAUGUUCCAACUACUUUGCUCGUGUUAGCUUCAGUCUCAUUUCCUCCAAAACUUCUAGCCAAACCAAAAUCUGAUAUCUUUGGGUUCACGUCAGAAUCUAGCAAAAUAUUACUGGCUUUGAGGUCUCUAUGGAUGAUUCUGAGGCGUGAAUCUUGAUGGAGAUACAUAAGGCCCCUGGCAAUGCCAUUAAUAAUGUGGAAACGUUUCGGCCAAUCAAGAACUGCACUUUUCAUUGGAUCUCCCAAAAAAAAAAUAAAUAAAUAAAAAUUCCUUGUCAUUAGAAUAAUUUGAUUGUUGGAUAAAGGAAAUGAGAAAUUAAUUCUAAUAUCUAUAACCAAGUAUCUUCAAGAAUACAAUAGCAUGAAACAGCACAUGGAAUAAAGAAUAAUUACGUGUUUAUGGAACUCUUUUAUUACAGUGUACAAGUGGUACCCGGGAUAGAAUGUGAUCAUUUCUGAUUGUGCAAGAUGAAUAUUUCUUACCAAAUAAAAUCAAAUCAAGAUUUCUAUUAGUCAAGUAUUUAUAAAUUAACAUCUUUUCCUCCCCUUGAAUGCAGCACCCUAGAAGCUUCACAAGAUUUCGAUGCUGAAGUUUAGCUAUACAAAUGACUUCAUUCUUGAACUCAUUGAAUCCUUGCAGUGAAGUUCUUGAUAGCCGUUUGACAGCAAUUUCCUGCCCCUCUUCCAGCAGCCCCUAUAUCAGAAAUCAAGCAUGUGAAAGGAAUUCAUUUUUCAUGAUAGCGAUUUACAUAAUUCAUCUCCGCUCACUUUUUAUUUGUGAGGAAGGGUAUAUUGAUGCUUUUCUGUGUAUUAAAGACUUCAUUUUUUUUAAAUAAUAAGAGUAAAUUUCCAAAUUAUUCUGGGAGCAAAGUAUUUGAUGUGGUGUAUUGAUUAAACAUCAAUAAAAUUUGAAUUGAAAUCUGAGAGCAUAAAUUCCCUGUGUAGUGCCUGCCCUGUUAUAUUAAAGAAAACUACGUAUUACCUUGUAAACAGGUCCAAACCCACCCUCUCCAAGCUUGUUGUUAAUUGAAAAAUUAUCAGUAGCUUUAUUUAUUGUAUGUAAGUCAAACUGUGGUAGCUCUAUGUCUUUAUUGUGGCUUUCAUCAUGGUGAUUGUCUGUAAAGUUGUGUCCAAGGCCGCCUAAAACAUAGAGAAAAGCAAAAGACGGUUUCCAUUUGCAUAGAUAAGAUUGGAUUCUCCACUUGUCUUUAAUAAAAAAAUCAUAGAUUUUGCUAGCAUACCUCCGCUUAGCCUUUGGUUAAUCUUCUUUCUUUUCCGAACAUACAGAAUCAUACUCAGACCCAGCAGAAUUAUUCCCAUACACAACAAAAAACUUACUAGUAGAAUUUCUCUUUUCCGUCCUUUCAAGUUUGCACAAUUAACCAAAAAAAUAAAAAAAAAGGGAUUGCUUUUCAAUGAUGAUACAUCCUUGAAAGUGACACAUCAUCUAUAAAGGAAAGUAAGUUCUGAAUUAUCCUAUUUUCUACUUGUUCAUCGAGUAAUGUAAACAUUCUACUUCCUUUGAAUUCAAAGAUAUGUGUGUUUUUGGGAUAAGCUUUCUAUUAAGGCCUGUAUUUAUUGUAAUAUAUAAUAUCAGCGAAAGCCAUAAUUAUAAUGGAAGUUUCUGCAUCUGUAUACCAGUUUUCGGAUACUAAUAUUAAUAGAAUAGAUUGAAGCUAAUGUGAAGCCCUGAAACUAAGCUGCAAAAUUAAAUCGAUUAAAUCUAAAAAAGUAAAGCUGUACUAAAGAAGGUCGCUUUGUUUGUGCUCAUUAUGAGAUUUUCAGAAGUUUUAAGUUCAGGAAAGUGUUAUAUUGGAGAAAAAUCUUCAAUAUUAUAAUUUGGAUAUACUUAAAGAAAACAGUAGACAUGUCGUGAAUAGUUAAGCAUUUUGUCGAAUAAAUACUUACCGGAUUCAGAAGAAGACAUUCUAAUGUAGAUAUCUUGUCCUUCUGCUGAUAGCUCUUUGAUGUCAAUUAAGUCUCCAAACCAAAUUAAGCAUCCACUUCCACCUCUACUUAUAUCUAAGUAAGUAUAAGCAGUACAAGUGCAAUUGUUUAAGCACUCUAUCUUGCAUUCUUUGAGUGUCAAUGUUUCAUUGUGCCAGGAAUAUCGUGUAUCCGGCAAUUUAAUACCAGAAUACUUGAGAUAAACAUCUGUUUGACAAUUCAAUGGAUUUCUGCGAACACAACCAUUCGACCAAUCUGACUUCUUCCAAGCUUCAGGAUCUUUUGGGAGAAAUCUAUUUAAACAUCCACAAGCAGGAGAAAUCGCAAUAUUGCAACUACCAUAUGCACCACAGUUUUUAUAAGUAUCACAAUUAUCUGUUGGAGCAGUCAGGUAAAGUACUCAUUGACGUUUUUGAUCUAUCCAUGUCCAGCGCUGGGCAAUUCCACUUGUAUUCAAUGUAAACCUUGAGAUAACUGAACUGUUAAGGAAAUCAUAGUGAUAGUACACCUCAUUUUUUUUUAGUACUAGUUCAAAUUUGAAAAUAUUAUUUUCCAUCAAGUUUGGUGUCCCACUAAAACGGAGACCAUUCCAAGGUCCAGUUUUAUACUGCUCAUCUGAACCUUUUUUCAAGAUAUUUUGUGGAUAACCAGUAGGAUCACAGUGAUAUGUAAAAUCUCCUGAACUUGGAUCCUCUUUGCUCUUCCAUGAUGAUAGAUAGACCUCUAAUUCAGUUGUAAAGUUCCAACCGAGCUUCAUACCUGGUAACAAUGUAUCAGUCGGAUAAUUAAAACUCUCCCAUAGAAAGUUCACUGGGUCAUCAUCAUUUGCAUCUUUCACGACGAGGUUUCCCGAGUCCAGCAAUUUUGCAACUGCAGUUUUCACAGGUCGUGAUGUAUUCGAAGACCAUAUGAUGACACCAUUAGUGUCGUUUAGAACAACUAGAAGUCCUGGUUCGAUAACCUUCAAGACUCCAGAUUUAUUUGUGAGGGGAAUUUCUCUGUUGGCAACCCAUAGCUAGUCUUUA
rnacentral:lncRNA from 1 species